GCCAUGCAUCGUGCGCAACUUGUGUAGCACACGACUGCAGCUGUCCCUUUAGCUCUACAUGCAACUGCACUAUUCUACAUUUUGAAAGAAUCAUCAAAGUGAAGCCUCAUCAACUGGCCGACCGAACUACUGAACCAAACACACCUAAAAUUGUUCCGCUAAACAAAGGCAUUUCACAUAAAACAUGCCACACUAACCACACCGAUGGGCCAAACAAAUCUGAAAUUAUUCCGCCAUUCAAACAUUUAUUGCAGAAAAGAAAACCUAUAUAUACAUCCAGUUUUGGUGUAUGAUAUACACUCCACCUAUCGAAUAAAUUUAAGCAAACAAACUCACCUAUUGAAUGAGCGGACUCUAUGAUAUGCACCUUUUUUUAAGCGUAUGAGUAGCAAUACUCUUUUCUUGUAAAGCAUGUUGGACGAGCUAAAUCACGUCUUAAAAAAAAGUCCGAAUACCCGUAAAAGAAUUGAACAAAAAGGAUAUUUCUACACUAUUUUGCCUGCUAAAUAAAAAUUUCUGUAUCCUUUCGCCCCAUCUUCUUGCGCAAUAGCUUUAGGCUAUCAUAUUUGCUCGCGAUUUAAAAGAACCAGACAACCAUGACAAAAUUUUAGACCACCACGACGCAUUUUUUGACCAAGCUAUUGUAAUUUAGGAUUUGCUAAAAAUCUGCUAGACUCUGUUUGACCCUACUCUGGCACAAUUAUUUGCUCAAUUUUUUUUUUUUUCUCUUGAGAUAGGUAGCACACUAUCCGCUUCGUUUAUUUCAUUUAGAAAUAAACUUAGCUGGAAAUAUAAAUCAACUAGAAUUCGAACUUGGAAUCUCGGAUACCAACCACUAAACCCUUUGCCACUUGCUCUAAAGACAGCCGGUUGCUCAACUAAGGUUUGAGCUGAUUAAUGAUAGUUUCUGUUAAUUUUCCGCUGUAGCAACAGCCCCAAAUUAUACUAUUCAUCUAACUUUCUCAUAAAACAAGUUGCUAUUAAAUAUACAAAUACAAGGGGAACCAAAAACAAAUUCAUUACUCGUGUGUCUAAAGUGGUUGCUAAUUUUGAAAAACCUAAGCUUUAUAUGCAUCUAGUAGUCGCACAUUAAUCAACAAGGCUAAAAUGACUAUUUUUUAUUUACAAGAUACAUGAGCAUAAAGAACCAAAAAAAGAAAAGAAAAGAAAAAGAAUUAGUAGCCAAAAAUCGAACGAUCCAAAAUUUCAAUUUUUAAAACAUCCUAGAAUUUCAAUCCAGCCGGUUGUUCGCGAGUUAGCUUAUGUUCAACUUGAAAUCAAGUCGCAUAUUUAGUACACAAGCCCCACACAAGCUAAAAUUUUCAAUUCUUCAAAUAUUUAUAUAAUUUAUAUUUAGUUAUGAAUAAAUAAAUAUAUAAUAUAUUUUAUUAUUUAAUUUUUAGCCCAACUUAAUUAUAAAAAAACUUAUUUAUAUAUAAAAUUUUAAUUAUGAGAUCAAAGUCUAAUUUGGCAAGUUAUUUCCUAAAUACUAAUCCUUUUAAUUUACUGUUUAUAUGCCAGCUCAUGUUAAGCUUAUUAAUAAACAAGCUAAAUAUGAGCUAAAUUUUUCAGUUUGAUACUUUGACGAGUCGGCGUAACCAUGAGCUCUGCGUUCGGCUCAUUUAUGAAACGAGCCCAACCAGAGCUCAUGUUCGGCUUGUUGACAGCCCUACUUGCAAGUAUCAUACAUCAUCAGAAGGUAAUUAGAUUUCCAUCCAAUUAAACAUAAUGCUUCUCAUCGACCAUUUCAAAUUGGAAAAUGCCAUCAAAAUUGAUGCACUUGUACUAUCAAAAAUGUACUAGUACACAAGGAUGGGGAUAAUGAUAUAUUCUGAGGAAUAUAUAUAAUAUUCAGCCAAUUAACCAUGACAAUAAUCGCACCACUCUAAGCUAAAACUUCAAAAUGAUAAAAUGUGUUCACAAAUUAAUCAAUCUGCGCAUAAAAUAAAACAGAGAAGAGAACAACAAAUGCCCUCAGUUAGCAGCCAAAAUGAAUGCGCAAUUAUGUAGACACCAAAAUGGAGCGAGGAGAAAAAGAGAACUCAUCCUAAAGUGACAAAAUUUGAUGGCGAUUAAUGCAAUACUCAAGCAGUUGAGAAGAAACUUAGCACUCUAAAUGCAAAGUAGAGCAAAGUGCAUCCAGAUUGAGCGGAAAUACAUCAUCCACAACGAGAAAUGCAUCGUAAGAUUAUUAGAAGACCAUGAAAUCACUAAGGUCGAUAUCGUUCUCAUAGUUCUCCAAAACGAGAAACAAAAAAACACCCAUGUGAUCUUAUUUACUGAAGAGUACUGCUAAUAACUAGAUGACAGGCAACUAUGACUUACUCAGUAACAGUUUAGUCUACUAGCACUAAUAACUCGUUUUAACCAUAAACCCAAAAUGCUUAAAACCCAAUAAUUAGUUCUAAUGUGUCCGUUACAUGUAAGCCCCACAUACUCCCACAUUAUCUAAUGUGUGAUUAUUACGAUGUCAAAUACACUCGACUGAUCCUACUCCUGUAGAAUCAAGAAUUAGUAAGAAGUAAGAACCUUUCAAAAGUUCUGCACAAGCUGUACAAUAAAUGCAAAACAAUCACUUUAGAGCAGCAACGCCGACACCUCUGACACCCACGUAUAAAACACAUUUGUAGAUAGAUUCCUGGUUAAACCUGUUACUCAUAUUUGAAGCAAAAGCAUAUCCACCACUGCUGUAGGUAAUAAUUUAACCAGUGAACAAGGAGGGGGAGAACCAUUGCUUGCACUUAAUGAUAUGAAAAUUUAUAAGCCAUCAAGAAACUAAUAGCAGGAUUCCAACAGCAUCCUACAACAGAAUGGUUGAAAAUGCUUCCAAGCAGAAAAUCUGAGUAGCUUGCGGACGACAUCUAAGCACUGUUACUAGCAUAAAGAAUGUACAGCAUAGACUGAUUAGUUAAACAGAUCAUUGCUACGUAAAAAGUAUAAAAGAAUAUUUUCCUAUUGGUAUUUGAUCGGUGACCAUUCAAACCAUGCAACUCAGACAACUUAGUUUCUUGGAACAACAUAGAAUAUGUAUUCCCAUGAAACUAAUAGCUAGCUCUAAGGUAUUAUAAUAACAAUUCCUAAUGUGGCCAAUUGAAGCAGCCUUAGCAAGACAGUGCAUUAGGUUGUCCCACACACAUCAUCAGAUUCAACAGUUAAAUGUAAGUUGUACGUCUUUGAUAGCAUCUAACUGUGCUUAAGACAUUUAUAGUUAAUUUUUUCUUCUGCUCGGAUAUUCAACCAAUUAUUUUUAUUAUUUGCACUCCUGUAGUAGAUUCUUUUUUUUUUUCUCCAGUGCAUUCUUUUAACUAAUAAAUGAUAUAAUGCAAUGUUAUAAAUGCUUUCUUCGAAGCUUUUCUAAUAGUAAAAAGAAUUUUCUAAUAGCAAAAAGAAUUAAUUAACGUGACAAACAGAUUGAUGCAGCUUCAUAUCAUUUGAAUGCAAGCAAGUAAAUAAAUAUAAGUAACAAACCAAACUCUCGAGGACAUUGCAGCCAUAAUUCAAACAACCCUCGAAUCAUGCCUAGUCAAGGAGAUUAAAAUUGCACGAUAAAAUUAUGAUUCUCUAUCAAAGACAACAAUCUAGCACAAAUAUAUGAGUAAAGGAUCCAAUAACUUAUUUUAGAAGUUCACCGAAAACAUUCGAGUCAUCAUAGGAACACUACUUCGCAUAAAUAUAUAACAACAGUUGAUAUUCUACUCCUAUAUGUUGCAAUAACUUUUUUAGUCUAUCUAUUCAACCAACUAUCAUAAGCAGAGCAACAGAAUCCAUCACAAAGGAAUCAAGUCAAACAUUACCAAAUCUAAUGAGGGGAAAACUUUAACAUGCAAACAAAGGCUAAAGUUGUCUAUCUUAGACUGUGUUUUUGAACUAAAGAAACAUUAUGUGUGUUUACUAACAAUAGCAUUUCACAUGAUGUCUCUGUACACAAGACAUGUUCUUUGUGGUUUCGGCAAAAAGCCUAGUGACUAUAGGAUGCCGAUAAACAAAAACCUUUGAACACUUUGCUUACAGAAGAAGGAAAAACCAAAAAAGAGACAACGGUAACAAUUAGCUAUGAUACUUUCCAUAAGAUAAAAAGUAAGCAGUUAUCUAAUAAAGAAAUUGUUAGCAAAAACAUUUAGAAAUUUAAACUUCACCAAAAUUUAAAUAUAGAAGUCACAAUCAAACAGCUCUGCAUUAAUGCACUACAAUGAAAAUCCUAAUCAACUAGUACUUUGAGCAACACAGACAACCAUAACAAGUUAUGCUUCCUGAAAAUCCUAAUCAACAAGCGCUUUGAGUAAUACAGACAAACAUAAUAAAUUAUGCUUCUUGAUUACAGAAAGCUUCUCAAGAGAAUCUGAUAAAAAAGAUACUCUUUAAGUGAUAAAAAGGUUAAAAGUAAAGAAAAAGUUGAAGAAAGAAGUGAAACCAUGGAAACUUCAUAUGAUUCUUCCCAAACUUGAGUUCAUAGGUUCUCUCCUGUGGUCCAUACAUGGAUACUUCAAUUCUCUAGGCACGUUCAUUCUAACAACAUAUCGAACACAAUGCUCAUCAGAUACUUCUUACACAUUCCAAAUUUUUUUAAAAAUAUGGUUGAAAUGUUGCAAUGGUUAGGAUCUACAGUUUUAGAACACUCCUUGAUUUUUGAUGGAAGGGAUAUGUUAAUUAACAUAUCCAUUGAUAAUGAGAAACCUAAAAAAAUAACCCAAAUUAAAGAAAACUUAUUAUGGAUACUGUACACACACAUGCAGUGGAUAAAUUAGUGAAGUAUGAUUAAAUAUUACAUGUAAAUAUUUGCAAUAUCAAUAUUCCAAUUAACUAAAUACAAGUGCAUAUAAUUGAUUUUUCUUCUUUUUUGAUUGUAUAUGAAUUGAAAUGUUUAUAAUAUGCACAUAAAUAUUUGUCUUCAUGUGGGGGCAAGCUGGCAUGCGCGCAAAAAAUGGCAAGUGCAUAUUUAUAACUUUAUCUCUAUGUAUAUCAACUCCUAUUUAUGUAUUUAUGCACGUACACGCAAGUACAAAACAUGUACAUUCGUUGAAAUAAACAUCGGGCAUCCUAGUUGAUUCACAUUUCCAGAGAAAGCGGCAAAGGGCUUGGUGGUUGGUACCCGAGACCCAAGUUCGAAUCCUAGUUGAUUCACAUUUCCAGCUAAGGUUAUUUCUAAAUGAAAUAAACAAAGCGGGUAACGUGCUACCUAUCUCUCUCUCAAAAAAAAAAAAAAAAAACAUCGGGCAUCCUUAUUUUUAAAGAUUUGCCAUAUUAGCAUAUUUGGAGUGUAACAUGUUAGCAUGCCAUAUCUGUGUCUAUGCAACAUAUGUAGUUUCUCUCCUCUUCUUGAGAAAGAAAGAUAGAAAAGGAGGCACGUGUGUUACGCCACACCCUCUUUCAGAUAAUUUAGUCAACUUUAUAUGGCCCAUGUGUCCCUCCCAAGCAAAAAGCUAAACCUUUCAGCAAUUUUCUGGCUAAUAAAACAAACUUCGUACAAUGAUGAUCUAAAAGUACUCGAUCUAGAAUACCAGCAGCUUAAAAAGUAUUGUUAGUUCUUAAAAACUUUAAAAGAAAUGCAUUCAAUAUACAAGUGCAUUCCUUGAUUCGGUGAAUGAAACUUUGAGAUUAUAUGAGUACAAAGUUAUUCGAGUCCACCUUAAUUCGAUACACCAUGAGAAUAACUUCGUCAGCAAGCACCAGGCUACAGAAAAUCUACAAUUUCCCGUCACCAUUUAUAAGAUACUAAGGUAACAUUUAUAAAUUAAUUAUACAUUUAUUUAAACCUCAUUUAGUACCAGAGCAUGAUGCGCCUAAAAUCAGCAUGAUGUAAAAGUUCCUAGACAAAAUCACAUUAUUUUCAACAGAUAUCUAGUAGAGCCAUUAUGAACUUGUCAUAAUCAUGCUUCCAGCUGAUAGUAGCAGCACAUACAGCUGGAGUUUUAAGAGUUUCAGCAAAACCAAGUUAAAUAACAGCUGUCUGCACAAACAAUAGGGAUUUGAACUUAUUAAAAAACACAAUAACUUUUGAGGUUAUUCAUUUUAUCUACUGUAAUUAUUAAAAACUUUUUCAAUUAAAAAGAAGAAUCAGUCUUGUCAGAAUUGACAAUUUUUACAUAUGCACCUUUAUCACAGAUCAAGUGACGAACAAACUGCUAGAUAAACUGAACUUUUCUCAAAACAGAAAAGGAUAAAAUUAAAACAAUUAGGCCCACAGAUUGAAUUGUUUUAAACAUGAUAAACCUCCUGUACACUAGAUGACUCAGUUUUUGGGGAUUUUGGUUGCAGCAUCAUAUGACUUUUAUGUGUAGUAAAACUAUAGACUACAAUUUCUUGCACUCAUGUUGAUGUUUGAACCUUUCCUUAAUCAACAUAUGACAGUAGAAGCUACAUGACUGAAAAUCUUGUCCUUGUAUUGCUAUACAUUUGACACAACAUUACAAAAACAGAAAAUCAUAUACAUCUUUGGCUAGUGAGAGACUGAUCCAGUGAAAUUUGCAUUUACGCCCAAAUAAAUUACAUUCUACUACACAAACACACAAUUUACUGUGUAAUAAUAUAUUUCCUCAUACAUAAAAUGACAAAAUGUUCAAGGAAAAGAUGUGCGCAUUCUUAACAUUGGCAUAAAAGCAAUUUCAGCUAAUGAAACAACACUAACAUAUACCACUGUACCAUAGAGUAGUGGCUCGGAAAAUUAUGUACCAACUACAAUAUUUCAUGGGAUAGCAACUACUAUCCUCAGUCUAGUAAACAACAUAAAUCGAAAACGAUGAAGAUCAAAUGUCCCAGCUAUCCUAUUCACAUUAAUGCCUCUAUGAAUAACAAAUUUCACACUUCAGCCUAGCCAUCUUUCUAAAAAGUUUCCAUGUUCAGCGGAAAGAUACGUUCUAAAUUAGUCCAAGCAAAGUGAACUACUACAUGCCGUAGCAACUACUAAUGUACAUCAGGCAGCAUCCAUAUUUGUUAGAAUCAGACCAACAGAAACUCUAUAAUAAUGCUCAAGACAAGAAGGGAGAUUGCUCUUAACAAAUCUAAAAACAAUAUGGUUAGGCUUGAGAUCUCGGCAAUCCUCUUUACAGAGAACACUGGUACCACUUAUUAUGAGAGACAACAUGUAUUAGAUAAAUAUAUUUACUAGCAAAAUAUAUGGAAAAGGAAUAUGGAUUCUUAUAUGGUACAUCAAGCUGUGAAUUGCCUUCAAUAAAGCUUGGCAUCUAGUCUAGAUAAUAACUGAAAUAACAAAAGAGUAAGUCAUUCUCUCAACUCUAUCUUAACAAUUAACUAGGAUUAUGACGAUAAAACCAACUUUGACCAACCAAUCUAAAUAAUAGUGUGUUAUUCCUGAACAAAUAACAAGAGGAGAAUCUUCACAUGUUCUUUUUCCUCAAUGACUUUUACUAUUGGAAAAACUACAAAAACCUGUUUUCACUAUAGUACAUUUGAAAAUUACUAGCCCUUGGUUCAAAGUGUAACACUUAGCUAUCAUGUUUUGCUUUUUAUCUUUUCCAAGGACCAACAGUUAAAAUAUAAGGCACAUCAGCUUUUUUUUUAGUGGAAGUGUCACAGCUCCAAUAAUUUUUUUUUUAGUGAAUGUGUCACAGCUCCUACCUUUCGAAGGAAUGGAAGUUCAAGUCAAAAUGGAAUAUAUCUGAUUUGUUGGUUUUAACCAACUAAUUAAUACUCCUAUCAUGCAAGUCCAAAUGGUCCACUCUAACCUUUGAAGAUGCAACGAUCCAACCUGCUAGCAAUAGUAACUCGUUGGAACCAAACCGUCGGCUCAAAAUGCUUAAGCUUAAUUACUAUUAUUAGGGUCCAUGAUCUGUUAUAUUCCCAAAACACAAUUCCGUUCUUAUUUGAUAUUGGACUAUUGGGGUGUCAUAGACUCCUUUUUGGGUUCUGACGUUUUUGUCGGCCCAAUCACACACACAGCAAAAAAUAACCAGGCGAUGUGAGGCCCAUCUCACACUUCCGGCUGAUGAACCGGCUCCGAUACCAAAUAUAACAACUCGAUCAGCUAGCAAUAAUAACCCAUUAAGCCCAAUCCACCAGCUUAAAAUACUUAAACCCAAUAAUUAUUAUUAAUGUGUCCUUCAUAUAUAAGCUCUUCGCAUUCUCACACAUUAUCCGAUGUGGUCAUGUGGGACUAUUGGAGUGUCAUAGAAUGAGGGUAACAUCAUCUCACAUCUCACUACUCAACUUCCAACUAUUAAGGCCUAUUUUAGUAAUGUGGCUAGAAGUACAAUUUUUAUACUUUGAAAAGCUCAAAAAAUUUAAAAGCACUUUCAAUCUUCCCUCCUUUCAUAGUCAAUUUAGCCUUCGCAUGGUUUAGUGCAAUUUUGCUUGCCUCCCCGGGGCCUCAAAAGUUGCACUUAACCGCCCUAUGGUUUUAUUUUUGUUUCAUCAUUAGAAAUUAACCGCUGUUAAACAAGCCAGUAAAGUAAUAGUUUUUUUUCUUAAAUAGGCUAGUGCAAUGCAGGUUAUAAGAUGGUAAAAAUGCUAUAAUGUAUCACCAUGUGGUUUAUAAAAAGUAUCACUUUGGUACCUUGCUUAACGUUUAGUUCUUACCUGUGAAACAAAAAUAAAACAAAAUAAUUAAGUGCAAUUUUUUGAACCACAGGGCGAUAAAGUGAAAAUGCGCUAGACCACAAGGGAGCAUAUAAAAAUUUAAAAACCAUAUGCUUCUUCAGUAGCGGUUGCCACCAUAAUUUUAUAGCAUUAAAGAAGGAAAAAUUAAAAGCACUUUUGAAAUAUUUUUAUAAAACCUUCCACGGCAUGAAAGUGGUUAUUUUAGCCACCACAUUACCAAACUACGCGUAAAACAGGAGGUAUGACAGUUGUGAUUAUAAGAUUAAAAUAAAGACUAUACCAAUCCUUCUUUAUUGCAACGGAAGAGACAAGAUAUCAUCUGCUUUCUAGGAUCCAAGCUACUCACAGCACUGGUGUUCUUUCCCAAGGUGUUGGCCUGCAGGUCUCACACGAUGUUCGGGUUGCAGUAGAACAUUGUUACACCUCUCUCACUCGCAUGCUCAUAAAAAGAAAGUCAUUAGGAAACUAAAGAUCAUAAAUAACUUAAAAAUGAAAAAGCACAAGAUAUCGAUUUCGAAAGGGAAAGACUACCACUAAAGAAUAUUCAGUCAGUGAUAUGCAAUGAGCUAGCCAAAAGAUAAAUUAUUAGAUAAGAGGCUUAGCUGAAUAACAAUUGCUAAUUAUGCAUCCAAAAAGUAGCAAUGUGAGCAGCAAAUUCAUUAUUAAUAAAGCUUUAACAAGAGCUAAGAGUUCAAAUAUUCAACAUUUCUCAUUGUUUACACGCAUAAGAUAAUAGAGUCACAUUCCUUGGCUGAAAAGAUGUAGAUGUUUUCAAUGACAUGACAGCUGAAGCAGACCUCACUUUGACCAUAUAUAUCGCACUACUAGAAAUACAACAUCUACAGUACCCAAGUGAAAAUGGGUGGCACUGCUGUCCAAAUAGCUUAAUAAAAAUUAAAAUAAAAUUUUUUUUGGGUAAUAAGAGCUAAAUCAUUCCACAGAAAACAACUAGAUAACGCACGGUAUGUCUUCAUCAAUACCAUGUUAAACUAACCAAAUUGUACAAUAAACGGCCUCACUAAAACCUAUUAAAUUCACUGUUGCACAAGCACAUUCAUAUGAUGAAUAGAUGGAUGUGAAAGCACAUCACGUCUUCAUAAAUGCCAACAAUAUUAUACACGAGCAAAUGAAUAUUUGAAAGCCUAGGAAAUGGAAAUGCCAACAAUAUCAAACAAGCAGGUGAAUAUGUGGGAAGCACAGAGGGCAAAUAAAUGCCAAUAAUAUCAUAGCAACACAUCCUUUCACCCUUGACGGGGUUCUCCCCCCACAAAGAGAAUAAAUGGGACUGCACAAAAUAUUAGGAAAGGCACCCGCCACCAUGCCUUUCCUGCUGUACAUAUAUGGCCCUUCGCCAAGGGAUGCAGUCAAAGAGCCCCAAUAGUUAACUUGCUGGGGCUUGAAAAGAUCAAAAGAGUUGUUCUCCACCACAUGCAUUACAAACACUUUGACAGGGAAAGUGUCAAUCAGAUACAAGUCCCAAUGCAUGCUAUGCUCUUCACAGCACACAUGCCCCUACCCACCUACAUAUUCCUUUUACUACAGAGAACGCAUUACUAUUAUUAAAAACUUAUUACUGUUACUUGGGUAGGAUGCUAGAGCACGCAAGAGAACACAUGAGAAGAGAUAGAAGGGGGGGGGGUGUCGGAGUCAAACAUUUCAACUCGUACACAAAGGAGAUCACAUGAGCUAAAUAGUCAAUAAUGGAUGCCUACAGAAAUCAUGCGCACCCGCAGUUGCACCCAAUCAGUUCUAUAUACGGAAACAUCAUUGAAAAGAGUAGAGCAUACUCAUCAGCGUAGUAACGUGUUCGCGAUACUCUCCCCAUCGUCGACCAGUAGGAAGUAUAUCUUCUACUUUUCUUUUCUUUUCUUUUCUUUUUUUUUUUUUAAAUGAUGAUGGAAGAAUAAUAAUGUCUCGAAGAAGAAGAAGAAGAAAAGAGGAAAGAAGCUAGCUAGAAAGCAACAUAGAUUUACAUGUUAUACAACAGCAACAAUAAUAACAAUAACAACAACAACAAACAAACUGGAACCAACAUCGCGCGCGCGUUGUUGCGGCGUUUUCACCGGUGCGUAAUGAUCUCAUAAUCUCAUGCACAACUAAACUAAAACAACGGAAUUAAGCUAACGAAUAGAGUCAUUUUGGACUCUUCAUUAGUAAAAGAGAGAGAGAGAGAGAUUGUGAGAGUGAGAGUGAGAGUGAGAUUGAGAGCGGAGAGAGUGGAAAGAGGUUAAUUAAUUUAUUGGGUUACCGAAGUUCGUACCUCCGAGGAAUCCGCCCCCGCCGUGCGGCCCGCCGCCAUAGACGUCGGAGGGGAGCAUCGGAGAGGAGGACGAGGCUCCGUUCCGAGCGCCGCCGCCGAGGUGGAGCUCCGAGAUGUUGGGAAUGGCGCUGGCGUUGCUGGUGGCGGCGGCGUGGUCGUGGUCGUGGUCGUGGUCGUGGUCGGCGCCGUCGUCGACGCCUUGGUCGUAGAGGAAGCCCUUGAACACGUGGCCCCCGAUGGUGACCAUCGCCUGGUAGGCAUACUGGUCCUCGCCGUCCUCGAUGGACGUCACCCGCACGCAUUUGAACACCGCCGGCGCCUGCACGUGCCGCGGCAGGCUCUCCCUGAAGCUCGCGUCUAGGUUUUAGCAAAACACCGUCUAUGUAUUAAUUAAGCACAUCGAACGGAGGGAGCGAGCGAGCGAGCGAGCGAGCAAAGGGAUGACAGAUGGCAACUAAAGCAAACCUUGGUGGCUGGAGGUGGUGUCGAAGCUGCGGGGAGGGGUGGUGUUGGAGGUGGAGGUGUGGGAGGUGGUGGUGGUCUGGGAGGAGAUGAGGCGGGGCUUCUUGGGGGCGGAGGUGGAGGCGGAGGAGCCGGCGCCGAUGUUGGCGGCGGUGAGCUGCUGCCGCUCGCGGCGGCGGGCGGCGGGGACCCACGUGCUCUUCACGUGGGUCGAGCAGUCGAAGCCGCGGCUCUUGCAGCACGUCCGGCAGCGCCGGUGGGUGCAGUCCUUCUUCGCCUGGUUGCCGCAGUCCUGGCAGGUCGACGACGACGACGACGACCCCGCCAGCCCGACCCCCGCGCCGCUCAGGAUGCCCGGCGCGUCGAACAUCGGGACGGGCUUCCUCAUGUAGGAGAUGGCGGCGACGGGUCUGCUAGGGAGCUGCGGCUGGGGCUGCAAGAACUGGAUGCUGGAGGUGGCGGUGCCGGGCUUGAGGGUAAUGAGGCCAAGUUGGGAAAGAAAGAGAUGAUAACUAAAGGGAAUAGUUUAAUAAAGUAGGGGCAAAAUAGGUAUUUUAAUUAGGUUUUAACUCUGGUNAAAAAAAAAAAAAAAAAAAAAAAAAAUCAAACCAGUAGGUCAGUACUAUACACCCCCCUAGCUCCUCCUCUCUUACACCCUCCCUCUUCUUCGCCCUUCUGUCUUUUCUCUCUCUCUCUCUCUCCACACCUGCGAUUUUCUCUCUCUAGUAUCUGGAUCUAUGAUCUCUAGAAUUCUCAGAACGAAAGUGAUGAAUCGGGUGGGGCUUUGUCCCAGGAGUUGGUCGGGGUUUUCCCUGCGGAGCGGAUGAGGUGGGUUCCUGCUUUUCCCUCUUCUAUAUCCUCUCUCUCUCUCUCUCUCUCUCUCUCUCUCCUUUUCUUUCUCUCCUCCUCUUUUGUUUGCAAAUUCUAUUUAUUUUUUUAUUUUUCUUUUUGGCGGGACUAAUUAUGGAGGGAGAGACUCUGAAAUUCCUUCUGAUCGAGAUCUUCUCGAUCACUCCCCUUCCAUUCUUUUUCUCCUCUCUCUUUCUCUCUCUCUCUCUCUCUCUCUCUCUCUCUCUCUAUCUUAUAUUUUCUCUCUUUGUUUCUUUCCUCGCAGGCUCCUGUCUCACUGCGGCUUCUGCUUCUGCUUCUGCGUCUGCUGUCGCCUGCAGCUGCUGCUUCUGCUUCUGCUUCUGCUGCAACUGCGUUAAAAGCUAAGCCACCCCACCUCCUCAGCUUUCAGCUCUAUAUCUCCACCCCUCUCCUCUCUAUCUCUCCCCACCCUUUCUUUUCCCUUUCUUAUUGGCUUCUCCUCAUCUUAUUAUUAUCCCCCCCAAAGUCACGUGACUAGUAAUCAAACUUAUUAUUAAUUAAUAAUUAAUAAUAAUAGUAAGAACGUCUACUGGAUAUAGUGUAAAAAAGAAAAAAAAAUUUUUACUAGUAGACAAAAAUUAAUAGAAAAAAAAAAUUAAGAAAAAGACAAAAUUUGGACAAAGAGGGACCAAUGACGAGGCGACACGUGUGAUGAAUUUUGGACCGGACCGAAGCGAACCUGAAGAACCGGUUCAUUAAUAACUUCUCGCGGCUAUAAUAAUAGGGGAGCGAAUAUAUGCGAUAGCUUUUACGGUCUAGUGCGCUUUUAGUCCUGCACGACUUGUAGUUUAGAAAAGCCCUUUCAAAGAAGAGGGGCCAUCGUGCAAAAGAGCCUGUGUUUUAGUAUUUUUUAGUAUUUUAGCAGCAAAGGUAACAUGCGCCCCCACCCCUCUUUCCCUCUUACUCUUUGAGAAAUUAUUGCCUAUUCCUGGUUCACCAUAUUACUUGUGCACUGCUAGCGUAUGUAACAUUUCAAUACUGCCAUAUGGGAUGAAAAGAAUAAUAAUAACUCAAAAUAUGACGACAAAAAAAAUUCUAAUAAUAAUAAUAAUUAGGUUUAAAUAUUUUUGAGUGUUAAUUUCGACCCACGAAGUUACUAGUGCUAGUGAAUCAGAUCGUUGCAAAUGUACAUUCAAUUAUUGAUAUUCUAAUAUCAUUUAUAGCAUAUAAAAAAACCAACUAGAUGAAAAAAUAUAGGUUGUAUAUAAUCUGGCUAGUGUCUUCACCUAGCUAAUCACUUAACUGGUUUUAUCAUCCAACUUUGCUAGGCUCUUAUCAGGUUUAGCUCAAAAUCUUUCAUAUUUAGUUUGAUUCUUGUAUAAUAUGCACUGAUUACAUUGAAUCAAAUCGUAUGCUAAUAGACCCUAGCACAUGUUAAAAUUAUUAUUAAUUUUACAUUAGAGCGUGUAUACAAAACAAGGAGUUUCUUGUAGUUUAAGCUUUUGGGUUCAGACGAUAAAAUAUAUGUAAAUAAAUAAACUAUUAAUUUUAAGUAUGUGGGGCAUGAUACACCGGGUGCAGGCAAGAAUAUCUUCCUCUACUUGCCCUCCAUCCCAACUGGUAAAUGGUUGGUUGCUUGGCGAAAAUAGGCAUUGCCGCAUCCACUAGAUUGUUCCCGUUCAAAAUCGAAGCUAUCCUUUCCCAAAAUCAAAAAAUAAAAAUAAAGAACAUGUACACGUUAUGCGACUAAAAUAUAUCUCCUUAAGAUAACGAAUACAACUACUAAAAAAUAAAAAUAAAGAACAUGUACACGUCAUGCGACUAAAAUAUAUCUCCUUAAGACGACGAAUACAACUACUACUACUACACACACACACAUAUAGAGAGAGAGAGAGAGAGAGAAAGUUGAGUUAGAAUACUUUCAAAAACAUCAAGAGUUGGUAUUUUUAAAUUUUUAACCGAUGUAAGGUUGAGAUGACGGUAAUAAGAGAUGGUAGGUGGAAUAGUAUUUGAUGCGAGGGGUAUUAAUAAUUAAGAGUAAAUUCAAAGGCUAGAAACUUAAGAGCACCAAGGGAUUGAUGCUUCUAAAAGUAUUCUAACUCAAUUUUAUAUAUAUAUAUAUAAGUUUUUAUAUUUUUAAAGGUAGCAAAUUAUUUGUACUUAUAAGUUUUCAGCUUUAGAAUUAAAAAAUAUAUGGUUAGGAUGAUGUCAGUCUCUUAGCACCCGUUUGGUUCGGGAUUAAGAAGUGGAAUAAUCCCUUUAACCCCGAAGUUAUUUCCAAAUAUCCAAUUUUAGUGGUGGGGUUAGUUAAUCCCACUCCCACCCCACACCAUUACUCCAACCAAACAAAACACUAUUUUAUCCAUUAUUUUUUUUUAUCUCACCUACUCCAACCAAACACUAUUUUAUCUAUAUCUGGACUAAACCCAAUUAUCAACCAAACACAAAAUUACUCUAACCCCAUCUUAACCCUGAACUUAACUCUAUCUCUGGAAUAACAAAUUUUUACUUAACCCUGAACCAAACAGUGGCUUAGGGUUAAGUGGGUGAUUUAUUGAAUAAUAUAAUUUAAUAAGUGUAAAUGAUUAACAGUACAGAUCUAACGGCUAAAAAUUUAUAAGUAUUAAAUACUUGUUGCUUUUAAAAAUAUCAUUGUCAAACUCUCUCUCUCUCUCUCUCUCUCUCUCUAUAUAUAUAUAUAUAUAUAUAUAUAUAUAUAUAUAUAUAUUAAAACGAGCGAGUUUUCAUAAAAUAGAUAUGUGCUAUGUCCCAAUUACUAUUCACACAUCAUUAUUGUCAGUAAAGUCAUGUCGAUUAUUAUUAUUGCUAUUAUUAUUAUUAUUAUUAUUAUUAUUAUUAUUAUCACUCGCUUGAACAACUCCUCGAGCUUACUUACAAGGGAACAUGCAUGUAUCCCGAAUUCAAACUUGUUGUUUUCAAACUUUGAAAGUGGUAGCUAUUAGGGUAGAAAUUUUUUGUUUGUUUUUUUUUUUGAGAAACUAAUAAAGCUUUCUCCUUUUUGUCGCUUAGUGAUUGAUAGUGAGAGAGAGUUAAUAGGUGGGGAUGAGGUGGGCAUGAGAGUGUAGAGUGGCGUGAUGCACGAUUAUUAUUCGCUGCAUCAGGUGCAUUCAUAGAAUUCAUAUUCUGCACAUAAUAUUAAUAAUUAAUAUUAUAAAAAUCAAAAUGUACAUACAAAGUUUUUCUUUUGAGCCAUAAGGUAACAACAAGCUAUACAACCGCUUUGUUUUAUUUUUUAAAAAAUGUAUUAACUACAAAUGUGAAAAUAAUUAUGCUUCAAACUUAGAACUUAAAACUGCAUUAGAUACUAUCAGUAUUCUAUUUAUAACAGUCGUAUUACAUAGUCUUAUAUCUCAUAUAAAGUCUCUUGUAUCACGUGAAAUAACAAAAAAUUCUUAUUAGAACUUCUGUUAUUGCACUUGGUUGUUAUUAUUUUCUACAUGAAGUAUUCUACGGCGUGCAUGGUACACCGGGUGCACGCAAUAAUUUCAGUGAGAGAGAUUAUGAUGUGAGGAGAGAGAGAGAGAGCGCAAGAGGGGCAGUAGUAAUAAUUGGUGGGGUGGGGACUGGGGACUGGGCACUGGGGAGUGGGGAUUGGGGAGUGUGGGGACUGGGGAGGUGGUGAGGGAAGGGACCAAAGCCAAAGGAGGAGGUGGGGCCCGGAUUGGGGAGGGAUGGUGGGGACGUCCGUACGGUCUCGCAUCUGCGACCCACCACCUCCGUAAAUUUAGCUUGGAUUGUCUCUGUUCGACGGUGGUUCUGGAGCACUGAACUUUGAAUCCGUGGUCCUUACCCUUUCCCCUCUCACAAACUUUUUCAUUUAAAUCAAUAUAUAUAUAUAUAUAUAUAUAUAUAUAUAUAUAUAUAUAUAUAGGANAGAAUGAUAGUAAUUUUCAAUUAUAAUGAUAGUAGUCCCCUACACGUUGUUUGGUUGGGAGACUCCCAUCAUACCUAAACACAAAAAAAAAUAAUGAGGUGGGAUUGCUAUCCCACCCCUUGUGUGGGAAUAGAGAUGGGAACAACUAUUCCACCUCUAUUUAAUUUUUUAAAAUUUAAAAUUAAAUAUUUAUAUUUAAAUUAUAAAUUUUAAAAAUUUAUAAUUUGUAAUUUUAAAUUUUAAAUUUUAUAAUUUUAAAUUUUAAAUUAAUAUUUUAAAUUUUUUAAAUUUAGAAUUUGAUAUUUUAGAUUUCUAAAUUUAGAUUUAGAUCUUUAAAUUUUUAAAUUUGAAAUUUAAAAAUUUUAAUUUUAAUUUUAAAUAUUUGAAAUUUAAAAGUUACAUAUUUAAAUAUAAAAUUUAAAAAAUUAAAAUCAAAUAUAAUAUAGGGAGCAAUAUUAUUAUUUUCUAUUUAUAACUAUCCGCUAUUCUUGUUAUUCCAUUUUAUCUAUCCAAACGCUAUUUUUUUUAUUUCCGAAAACAACUCAAUUUUCAUUCAAAUACAAAAUUAGUCUAUUCCAGAUUUAUAUUUGAACUUAUACUUAUCCCUAGAAUAGACAGUCCUGGCUUAUACUCAAACCAAACGAAGCCUUAGGAUUGAGUGGGUGGUUGGUUGAAUAGUAUAAUCUAACGGAUGAAAAUAAUCAAAAGGUAGAGCAAAACUUAUGAAUACAAAGAGAUCUAUACUCAUAAGAGUAUAAUAGCCGAACUAUAUAUAUAUAUAUAUAUAUAUAUAUAUAUAUAUAUAUAUAUAUAUAUAGUCCAGUUACUAUACUAUCGGUAGCACGGAGGCUUCCGUACUACCAAGUUGUUUUCGAUGAUAUGGCUUCCAAAUCGACGAUCGGCCCCGUUAGACUUGAUCCACACUAUUGAAAGUAUUUGGAAAUUAAAUUUCAAAACUUUUCGACAUCAUUUGGUUAGUGAUCAAAAUGUCUCAAAAUUGACAAUUUUAAUAGUAGAUGUGAUGCAUUUGUAAAUUUAACAGUGUAAAAGAAUCCAAAUCAGAUUAAAAUUUAUAGAAAAUUUUUUUUACUAUUUAGAGUAAGAUCGGUACCUCUGAUCUUAAAUUCAAAUCUUCUAUCAUUAUUUUUUAUGAGAUUUUUAUUUUCAGUUGUUCAUUUUUAGACUACUCUUUUGAUAGGUAAUUGAUACCGAAAAAUUAUGAAAUUUAGUUUCCAAAUACUUUCAAUAGUAUACAUCAAGUCUAACAGAGCCGAUCGUCGAUUUGAAAGCAACAUCAUUGAAAACAACUUGGUAGCAUGGAGACGUCCGUGCUACCGAUAGUAUAGCAGCUUAGUUAUAUAUAUAUAUAUAUAUAGGCUGUGGCUACUAUACUCAUAUGAGUAUAGAGCUCUUUGUACUCAUAAGUUUUCGACCGUUCAGAUAAAAAAUGUGUGGCUAGGAUGAAAAUGGUUACGAUGGGUUGAGUGGAUGGUUGGUUGAAUAGCAUAAUCUAACGGAUGAAAAUGAUUAAAGAAUAGAUCUAAUGGCUAAAAACUUAUGAGUACAAUAGACNCCCCUAGGGUUGAGUGGAUGGUUGGUUGAAUAGCAUAAUCUAACGGAUGAAAAUGAUUAAAGAAUAGAUCUAAUGGCUAAAAACUUAUGAGUACAAUAGACUCUAUACUCAUAAAAGUAUAGUAGCCGGACGCUAUAUAUAUAUAUAUAUAGUACAGAUACUAUAUUUUUAUAAGUACAAUUGCCUUCGUAAUCAUAAGUCAUUUUUUAUGAUAGAGUUUCCGAAUCGACGAUUCAUAUCGUUAAAUAUUAUCUAGAGCAUUUAAAUUUCUAUAAAUCAAAUUUUAUUUUACCUCCGUAAAUAUUCGUAUUUUUAUUUUUCCUUCCUAACACUUUCAAAAAAUUAUAUUUUGCACCCUUUAAAUUUUAACAAUAUUUUUAGGCCAGUAUAGCUUUAAUGAAAAGGGCAGAUGAUCAAGUUGCUCUUACUUCUUUUUAUAAAAAAUAAAAUUUUAAUAUAUUUAUGUUAUUUUAAAAAAAUAUUUUUAGUAUAAAUUAUAAAAAAUUGACGGAAUAAUAAUCGAAUCCUGAUUGAAAGGGGUUAAAUACAACAACUUAAAAUAUGGUAAAACAUAGAUUUUUGCAAGUUAGGAAGGCAAAUAUUUAUAAGAAAGUUUUCUAUAAUUUGACCUAAACAUAAAACUUACAUUCCUUCAUCCAUAAAUUAAUAUUUUAUAUUUAUCUUAUCAAUUAUUUUUUAAUAUUAAAAAAUUAAAAGAUUAUUUUUUAAUAUUUAUUUUUUGAGUGUACAACUACUAUUUCUCAAAAAAUUAUAUGUUGCUAAUUAAGGUUCAAAAUUUUUUGUUAUUUUAAAUAGUAACAAAAUUUUUGAAAGUAUUAAUUUCUUAAAAAGCUUUGUAAAGUCUUAUACAUUUCAUAUAGUUUUAAUUUAUUUUUUUUAUAUAUUUAAUAUUUUAAUUUAGAUAGAUGUUUGUUUGGCCAAAUACAUAAAAAGAUAUGCCAGCAGUUGUACUCGGAAAUGAACAAUUUGAGAUCGACAGUAUAAAAAAUAUAUACUAUCCUUAUGAUAAAUUUUGAGCUUUUAAAAAUUUAUUCAGUAAAAGCACAAUUUAAUUAGGUAAACUUCAGUUAAUAUAUUUUAAGUGCUUUUUCUUAAGAAUUUAAAUAUCGUGGUACGGGAUCGUGCCGGAAACUUACCGACACGGUACGGUAUGGUGCAUGCUGACCCGUGCCGAUACGUGCCGGUCAAAAAAAAUAUUAUAUUCUAACACAUAAUAGCAUAAAAUAUUUAUUUUUUUUAGCAAUAAAAUAUUCUAACUAUUUAUUAUGUCUUUUUAUCGCAUCUUUUAAAUUUUAUUGAGAAAAUUACUUAUUAAUUUAAAGAAUAGAGAAUUUUGAGUUGUGCAAUCAAUACUGGGUCUGUAUCGUGUCGGUAUCUUAUUAGUACGAUACGAUAUGGCGGAUACAGUUCGUGCACUUAAAAUCUUUUUUUUUUUCCCUUGGUUUAAUUUUAGUCCUAAUAUAGCUAUGAUAUUUUAUUCUUCUAAAAAGUAAUAAUAAAUAAAUAAACAAGUAUUCUAACACACUCGGCUCCUUUUAAGUGUCCUUAGCCAACUGUCCCUAAGGUUGUGCAGCUCUAGCUCUAGCUAUAGCAACCUACUAGUUCAUUUAUUAAAAAAACUAUGCAGGUUGCUUGCAUUGUAAUUAAAACACACCAACGAAUGGGAGAGUUAUGGUGGGAUGUGGGCCCCUCCUCUUCUCCCUCUUUUUCUUUUUUUAUUUUAUUUUAUUGUUUAUAUGUUUAUAUUUGGGAAAACUUCAAAAAUCCCCCCGUGAUUUCAUACUUUUUCAUUUUAGUAAUCUGUGGUUUGAAAUGUAUCAAGUUAGUACCCUAUGGUUUCAAUUUUUUUCACUUUAGUAUCCUAUGGUUUAAAAUGUAUCAAGUUAGUACCCUGUGGUUUCUCACUUUAUCACUUUAGUACCCUAUGGUUUUACACUUUAUCACUUUAGUACCCUAUAGUUUAUAUAAAUCACAGGGUACUAACUUGAAAAAAAAAAACACAGGGUACUAAAGUGAUAAAAUGCAAAACCACAGGGUACUAACUUGAUACAUUUUAAACCACAGGUUACUAAAGUGAUAAAGUGAGAAAUUACAGGGUAUUGAUUUGAUACAUUUUAAACCAUAUGGUACUAAAAUAAAAAAAGUGAAACUACAUGGGAGAUUUUUGAAGUUUUCCCUUAAUAUUUUGGUACAACCCUUUCUUAUGCCUAGCUAUAUAUAUAGCUUAGCUAGUAGGGAGAGAGUGGGGUGGGGAGAGGGUGCCAUGGGCAUGAACUUGGACAGGUGGUCUUUUGUCAGGGGGUCAGGGAUAGAUAGGUGGAUAGAUUUCAGGCCUAUUUUUAAGUUGUCUUUGCUGCUGAAUGUUAGGUUUGUGGGAGAGAUGUAGAGCUAGCUUAUCUGGAUCUCUUCAAGCUGCACAGGAAUCUUAGGAUUCCCACAGAAGAAACGCCCGUCGAUAGCGAUGACUCGGACUUAUUCUGUCACUCUAGAUGAACGGUAAAACCGUCAAGAAUGUAGAUCUAUUGUUCAUGUCCGAACAAAAACUUAAUUAUCAGAAAACGUAAAAAAAAAUUACAUAACAAUGAUGGGUUAAGUUCAUUCAGCCGCGAACAUGAUAUAGGAUUGCUACGUUUAUAAGAUUGUUCUUGCAAGUUGAACUGGAAUUGUAAGAAUGUGAGACAGCAAAAUUGACAUAUUGUACGAAGGAAUUUUCUCCACAUGAAGUUGCAGAGUGUUAGUAUAUAUUUCUAGGCUCUUGUUUCGUACUAAAUCGAUCUUUUAGAUAAUACAGUAUUUAAGCCGUUUCUAUCCCUCUCAUGUGACAUUUAAUAAAUUUAAUUAUAUAAUGGAAUAAAUUUUUAUACUCUAUUUUAUUUAUUAAUUCUUUUUUAUAUUCAUCAUGCACGUGAGUAUGAAUGUUAAUAUAUAUUUCUGGAAUUAUUUUCUACUCGAUCACUAUUUUGGGAAAUACAGGGAAUUUGAUUUCCAUGAUAAUUUAGAUUUUAUAUAGUGAGAACUAUAACAUUUGAUUUAAAGAUAUUUAUAUCUUUUGAAGAUAAAGUUUAUAAAUUGAAUUUAAGCAAACUAAAUAACAAAAUCGUGAGAAAAUAAAACUGAAAAAUAUCAAAACCCACCAGCGGCAAAAUUGGCUGGUUUGGUUUAUAUUUGAGAUACUCUGAAAGCCAUCAAAGGUUAAAAUAAAGCUUACAUAAAAUUUUGAAAAGUUACUAGUAAAACUUAAUUACCCUAUCAUUAUAAUGAAAUUGUCACUAAGUCCAAGGAAAUAAGCAUACAUCAUAUCUCCGUUUAAAAGUCUCAACUCAAAGCAUCGAUAGUUAACAAAAUUGGGUUCGAGUCUAAUACUGAUAAGAUAGGAUCACAUGCUAGUUAAACAUGUUACUAGCUAGCUAGGCCCGGUGUAAUUUUAUUCGAUAGAUCUUUUAAAUAACAUGGUAUCAGAAUUCAAAGGCAAUCCUAAUUAAGCUCCCCUCUCCAACUCUAAUUACCUAACUUGCAAUUAGUUCAAAGUGUCUAUCAAAUCUAUUAUGCACUUAAACAAGUUGUUUCCUAUCAAAUCAAUGUUUUUGGAUAAUAAUACCAAAUCUGUUCACUCAAUGCGAUAACCUUGUUAAGAGAGGGUGGACUGGAGAUACAGUCUGUGUGUUGUACAGGGCCCACGACGAGUCUGUGUACCAUCUAUUCACUCAAUGCGUCGUUAUCAAGUACAUCAUGAUGAUGGGACUCGAGGAUUUCCACGCAGAGGAACUGGGUGACGAUGUACUGGUAGUUUGGGAUAAGUGGACGGAAAAGACUGCGGUGCGCGGUAGAAGUAAUGGACUUUCUGAAUUGGUCGCAUGCUGGUGGACGAUUUGGAAGGCCAGAAAUAACCUUAUCUUUCGUAAUCAACAGCUCGACCUUGUUUUGGCCGUCCAAAGGUUCAAGAUAUUGUUAACUUCGUGGAAAGAUCUGCUUUGAGCGUUGUUUUUUUUUUUUUUUUUUUUUUUUUUUUUUUUUUUUUUUUUUUUUUUUUUUUUUUUUUUUUUUUUUUUUUUUUUUUUUUUUUUUUUUUUUUUUUUUUUUUUUUUUUUUUUUUUUUUUUUUUUUUUUUUUUUUUUUUUUUUUUUUUUUUUUUUUUUUUUUUUUUUUUUUUUUUUUUUUUUUUUUUNAAUAGCGUGCUACCUAUUCUCAAAAAAAAAAAAAAAAAACCAAAUCUGGGCCUAACAUUUCAAGGUUUUUUACAUUAGAUUCAUUAUCUCAUUUAUGAGAUUCUAGCUAGGGACCAUGGUCUUUAUUGAUUUUGGUUUGAGUUUGCAUCAUGGGACCAGCUUGAUAUCAGUUAAUUAGGCAAAAGUAAUAAACAAUACUUUAUUAAUCUAAGUUUGUAAACUUGCUUUGCCCAAGAAAGAUACUGCAAAACCAAAAGAAGAGCUUUUUUCUUAAAUGCAAAGAUGAAUUAGGUUCCAAGACCCCUACUUUAAUAAGAUGGAGCCUUAAAUUUGAAGUUCUAUAUCAAAAGUUAACAAGUGACACAUAUAAUACCAAAAAGCAUGUAAAAAAGUAGAAGCUGAGAAUUACCUAACACAUUUGGACAAUCUAUCUUAAUUUUCCUCCACAUUAAUUAGUACAUGAAAUAGAAAAAAAAAAAGAAAAGAAAAUUGGGAAGUAUCUAGUCUCCAAAAUGAUCAGGUAUUAUAAGUAUGCUUUUGGAAAAGAAAUAUUAUGUGCAUCCAUAGGCAAUCAUGCAUGCACAAGAAUCCAAUAAGCAAUGAUAUUAAGUACAUGUACAAGCUUAACAUAACUUCUUUAAUUAACUACUAAUUAAGGUUUAUAUAAUAUCUAAUAAGCAUUAUCUAAACUGAUUUGUUCUUAUCCCAAGGAAUAAAACUAAAAGUGUUUGAUCCUUUUGGUUGAGCGGGGGAAUGUAUUAAUUACUAGUUUAAAUAAAUCACAAGCAUAUCAAAAGAUUUCGCAGCUAAAAAAAAAAAGCAUCAAACUAUUGAUGCAAGUUAUAGUUUAUCUCCAUUGCAUAUAUACUCGAUCAUCUGAUUGAAGUACAUAUUUAAUUAGCUAGUUUUCGUUGCAUGUUAGGCAACUGUUAAAGAACGUGUUCUCACUGAGUGUUGGAAAAUUUUAAGGGUUAAUAUAUAAUAUUAUUCAUCUUACAAAAACAACCGAAUACGACCCAACUCAAUAUCGAUAAUUUUGUAAGUUUCUUAAUUAAUUGUUUUAAAAAUAACAAAUUAAUCAUCUUAAAAUUCACAAAAAAUGCUGGUAAAACAAAACAAAAAUUUUAAGAAAAGUACGAUGUGCGAUUCUCGUGUUACCUUAAACGAUUGCGUCGUCAUGACAGUUUCUCUCUUUGCUAAACGCAAGGGGUUAAUGCUUAACAUUUCUCCUCAGUUAGGUACAAUUAGUUCGCCAAGGAGCUGCCACUCCGAGGCAGGAGCUUCAGCCCCCUCAUCAUUUAUGUUAAUCUUGAAAAAGAUACGUGUCGAACGCGUGGAACCGAUUGAUAGAAUAGGUGUCGAACGCGUGGAACCGAUUGAUAGAAUAGAUCUUGAACUGCGAGGUCAUGAGACUCGAUCAAAAUUGCUUCUGAUGGUGUCAUACACUUAAUGCAAUCUACUUCGAUCCCACCAAUCUUAUAGCUUAAAAAUAUGUUUAAAAUGAUACAAACCCCAUCAAAAAAGGGAAAUGAUAAAAUAGAUUCGGUGUGUUUCCCGUAAAUUCCAAAUGCUAACUAAGUUGAUACUUGUAACAAGAAAAGAUUGUUCAAGUUUUUUUUUUUUUUUUUUUUUUUUUUUUUUUUUUCCCUUUGCAAACUAAAUUCUCAACCAACCACAACUUGUUCUCAAUGUUGGACUUCAAUUAUGAGCCAAAAAAACAUGAUUGAUUGUCCUCAAACGCGGGGCAAAAUUAAGCUACUCAUCACCUGAUGAAGAGUCAUACAGAGUUUCUUAAUGAAAUAAACAAAACGGAUAGCGUGCUACUUAUCUCUCAAAGAAAAAAAAAAAAAGAGUCAUACAGAGUUUAGAAAAAAUUCUUCCUAAGGUGGUGCAGUGCUAUAUUUUUCACUAAAUCAGUUUAAAUAAUUUAGUUAUAUAUUAAUUCUUUAUAAAGAAAAGUACAAUCAGGACCCAACCCCUCAAAAAUUGAAUUUUCUAAAUUAGUGAACUAAAGCUGUAUUAAUGGGGUAAAGGGGAACUAUGAAAACACAGUUGGAUUGUACUUUGUGUGUCCCUAUCAAAAAUAAAUGUCACCAAUUUGGACGUUUGGAUACCUUGUGGAAACUUUAUUUGUUAUAUAUAUAUAUAUAUAUAUCUAUAGAGUUCGGCUAUGAUGCUUGUAAAAACACGAAACACUUGGUACUUGUAAAUUUUUUACCAUUAAAUUUAUGCCUUUGAUUAUUUUCAACCGUUAGAUUAUACUAUUCAACCCACCACCCACUCAACCCUAGGGGGUUCACGUCAUCCUAACCGCACAUUGCUUAAUCCAAUUGCUAAAAAUCUACAAACACCAACAACUUGGUACUUUUAAAAGCAUAGGAGCUCAAUUCUAUAUAUAUAUAUAUACAUAUAUGUAUAUGUAUAUAUAUAUGUAUAUAUAUACAUAUAUGUAUAUGUAUAUAUAUAUGUAUAUAUAUACAUAUAUAUGUAUAUACAUAUAUNGUAUAUACAUGUAUACAUGUAUACAUGUAUAUACAUGUAUACAUGUAUACAUAUAUAUAUAUAUAUAUAUGCUAGUGCCCAAUAUUGCAAAGCUGGAGAAAGAAAAGAAAUUGGUCAAAGCUGUGUGAAAUAUGUCAAGGGUUGGUGGUUGGUACUCGAGACCAAAGUUCGAAUCCUAGUUGAUUCACAUUUUUAGCUAAAUUUAUUUCUAAAUGAAAUAAACGAAACGGGUAACGUACUAUCUAUCUCUCAAAAAAAAGAAAUAUGUCCAUUUAGCUAGCUUAGUACUUGUGUGUUUGUGUUCAUCAUGUAUGAAACAUGGGAACAAAAAUACAUUAUCCGAUGAAAUUUAAGUAGGUAAUCUUAUGUGGUGUAAUCUUACUUUUUUGGUAAGGCCAUUUCAAUUAAUUAUUUUUCUCCAAGAAUAGCUAGUUGAAUAUCUAUAGAUGCAUCCUAAAUAAUGCUGAUAGAAAAAUCACUAUACUAGAAAACAUUGUCAAAGGAUUCUUCUUUUAAAACCUUACCAAUUUUGAUUGCUAAAUAUCCAGCUAGAUUUGAACAAGUGGCAUGUUCAGAACUCGAUAAGGGUUUAAAUGAUAACAUGCGUCUUAUGAUAAAAAAGGCUGGAAAACCAACAAAGUAGUGUGUCCACAUCUAGAUCAUCAAUCAAAAGACUAAAAGCUCUAUAAAGACAAAAUGGCGUUGAUUAAAGAGUUCUUUACUAAAACUACUGCUACCGAAAGCAGAAGCAAAACCGCACAGAAUAUAUAAUAGAGUAAUUUUAAUGAUUCAAUUGAAAAACUCUGCGCAUAAGACCACAUGUACAUGCAGAUGAAAUGGUUCGUACGUGCAGGGGUCCCAAACCCGGAAUACCACAUCCAUCCAUCAGCGACGUUCUCAUCUCUUUGAUCACUCUACACACUACACAAGUGAGAGAGAGAUUGGGGGAACACAUAUGUGGGUACCCAUAGCACUGUAGCACGUACUAUAGCACGUACUAUUCCCUAAUGAUCCAUACUUAUACAUACACACACACACACACACCGAAUCACUAAUCAACACGCCAACCAUGCAUGCAUGAACACGAGCCCAUCACACGACAACAAAAAAAAAAAAAGUGUCGGAAAAAGGUCCUUAACUAAAAUUAGCGUGGACAAUUAAAGUACAAAUAUCUAUAUAUCUAUAUCAGAUCUAAGGACAAUAUAUGCAGACGUGGAGGAGGAGGAGGAGAUAUGUAGUGAGGAGGAGGGGUUCGGAGAAGAGAUCUAGGAGAGGAAAAAUUCUAUAUAUUUCAUAUAUAAUGUGCGAUAUGUAAUUAAUUAAUGUACGAAGAGCGAAGAGGACGGUACGAGUGAAGAGGAAUUGGCAUUUUACAAAUGAAUGUUUGUUGUAUUUAGCAAUUUUGUGGCAUUCGAUUAAAUAAGCACAGGAGAGAGGGUCUGCGUGCUAGUUAGAGGAUGGACCACCGAUUUUUUUUUUCUUUUUUUUCAUUUUUUUGAGAGAUAGGUAGCACGCUACCCACUUCGUUUAUUUUAUUUAAAAAUAAACUUAAUUGAAAAUGUUAAUUGACUAAGAUUCAAAUUUGGAACCUUGGAUAUCAACCACCAAACUCUUUGCCAUUUGCUUCAUUGGCAGAUACUUUCGUACGUGAGCCCAGAUUUUCAGGAGUUGAAAUCUCGUCCACUUUAGCUGGUCUGCAAAUUAAGUAUCUUCAAAAGCUAACUAUUCAUUUUCUCUCUGAAAAAUAGAUAAGUCAUGCUUCCGAAUAAAUGGAGACAUAAUAUAUAUGACUCUAGAAAUGAUCUGCUAUUGAGGCAUCAAUGUUAGUUAUAAGAUAACCCGUCUAGAGAGUAUUUUGGUCUUCGCAGGAUGCUUAAGUAUAGACUUUUCAAAUAUCUGCAACAAUAAUUGGAAUUCAAAUUAUAUCCACAUUGCACGAAACUUAAUUUUGAAUCGAAUUUAAUGUUUCUUAAUUUUGAAUCAAAGUUUUACGGUAUUUAAAUUCAAUAUUUUUAUUUUAGUUGGAUACUUAACGAAUGAGGCAUUAUCUAAUUUGGUAAAUAAUAAAAUUAAACCAAGAACUUAAAAUUUGUGGGUCGCAAAACAAAUUUGGUAUGUGAUACUAAUUCUUUGCCAAUAUUGCCUUAUUGACUAAUCUAAGUCAGUAAACUGUUCAGUAAAUUAUUUUUAUGAAAAAUCUAAUCACCAAUAAUUUCACUAGUCUCAAUUACCUGAAAAUUAUUCGCCAAUUAUGCGCAAUUUGUUGCACAUUUAGUUAUAAAGAUCUCAAUGCUGGAGAAGUCGGGAGCACAAACUCUUUUUUAAUUAAAGUGCGCAAAAGCAUUAAUUACUACAAGCUCUUCUUCCGAGAAGUAAUUAGAAAUUUUAAAAAAAAUCUGCGGAUGAUAAUCUUUUACUUCUUUGCCCGAAGCAUGUUAGCUUGUUUGUGUAAUUAACAUCGCACAAUUAAUUUUAAAAUUAUUUUACAAAAACAAUUAGAACUAAAUAGAUGUCUCAAUCAUCUUGAUUUAUAUAUAUAUAUAUAUAUAUAUAUAUAUAUUAAUGUUGUACUCUAAUAUUUGUUUUUCCUAACCGUUCAAAUACUUUAAUCUAAUAAAAGCAAUGAUGAAACGCUUGAAAGGGAUGCUGAAAAGCUUCCUAUAACCAUUCCAAAGUGAAGAAAACUACAUAGAAAAUAGAAUUGCAUCACUAGAUAAUGAAUUGCCGUAAAUGAAUUUGCUUAUUAAAAAGGGUUUAUAAUAAUACUCACACCGACACACCCACAUGCAAAUCCAGUAGUUUUUACUAGCACACUAUACACAAGUAGGGAUGUGAAAGGGUACGAAUAUUUGAAAUUUUAUUAGAACUCAAAUUCGAACAUAACAGAUUUAUUCGAUACUAAAUGAAUAUAGUUUCGAAUAUAGUAUAAAAAAUAAAAAUCCAAUAAAUUUGGAUUCGGAUAUGAAUUUUGCCUGUACCCGAACCCGAACUCGAAUUUAUUUUACUCUUUGAUGUUAUAUUUGAAUUUGUAUUUAAAAAAAUUAGAUUUAAUAUUAUAUUUUGAAAUAUGAUAAAGAGAAAUAAUUGUUUCAGAUUCGGAUUUCGAAUAUUUGGUUGGUUCAGGUUUGAAUAUGAACUUUUAAAGUCUGUCGAAUUCGAGUUCACAUUUAGAUGAAUAACUGGAUUUAGGUUGGGAUUUUGAAAAUUCGCCCCGAAUUCCAUCUAUUGACAUCACUAUCCACGAGAAGGGUAAUUCAACCAAGUACUUUAAAUGUCUAACUUUUACAUAAUGGUGGUAAGGUUGGUGACUUAGAUGUUGAUUGAUUAAUCACUAUCGAAGUAAGUAUGCAUCUCUUUCAAUGCUUCAGUAGACAACAUUCUGGAAAGCAAAUUGAUAUAUUAAUUAACAUCAAUGAACUACGAUAAGAUUCAAAACUUAUGGAAUUUAAUAUUAAUUAAUCAAUUGAAACGUGUCACGUACCAUUCGGUUAAUUAAAGUGUACAUUAAGGCCGUGUUUGGAUGCAUAGUUAAAAAACUCUAUGGCAUUUUUAUUCUAUAGUUUUGAUCUAAAUAAAAUACGAAAUCCUGUAACUACAAAAAAAUUCCACAGCUUCAUUUUUAAGCCGUUUGGAUACAGAUCAUACAAUUCCAUAGUAUUUAUAAUAAUUAAAUUUCUAAAAUUUUAAAAUUCAAAAUUCAAAAUUCAAAAUUCAAAAUUUAAAAAUAAAAUUUUAAAAAAUAAAAUUCAAAAUUCAAAAUAUAAAAUUUAAAUUUAAAAUUUAAAAUUAAAAAAUUAAAUUAGAUUUUAUGUUUUAAAUUUGAAAUUUGAAAUUUGGAAUUUGAAUUUAAAAUUUGAAAUUUGAAACUUUAAAUUUUAAAAUUUAAAGUAUAACAUUUAAACUUUAAAAUUUGAAAUUUAAAAAAUCUAUAAUUAAAAUUUUAAAUUUUAAAUUUAAUAAUUUAUAAAUUUACAUAUUUAUAAAUUUAAAAUUUAAAAUUUAAGUUUAAAUUUAAAUUUUGAAAAUUGAAAAUUAAAAAUUAAAAAUUAAAUUAAAAUUUGAAAUUUGAAAUUUGAAAUUUGAACUUUUUGAAAUUUGAAAUUUGAAAUUUGAAAUUUGAAAGUUGAAAUUUGAAAGUUGAAAUUUGAAAUUUGAAAUUUGAAAUUUGAAAUUUGAACUUUUUGAAAUUUGAAAUUUGAAAUUUAAAAUUUAAAAUCAAAAUUAAAAUUGAAUUUUAAAAUUUUAAAUUUUGAAAUUUAAAAUUUUAUGUUGAAAUUUAAAAUUUAGAAAUUGAUAUAUCUUUCGGAACCCAAAAUGGUAAAAUUUUUUCUUUUGGUUAAAGUGGAUUGUAAGUUUACUCUAUUUUUUGGAGUAUAGUAUAACUAUACUCCAAAAAUUACAUUUUUUUUUUUCUUCCAAACGCUUAAUAGGAUUAUUUUCCUACCGGCGUAGUAUAGUUUAACUAUGCUACGUUUUUAGAGGUAUCCAAACGGGGCCUAAUGUUAGGUUAUUAUAUAGUAAACAUCUUGGCACUUCUCCCUUAGCAUUCCAUUAUCAGUUCAUCUCUUAUUAAGGGAAUUGUGCUUUCUAUAUAUUUAGCUUACUGCUUAUAUAUUUAGCUUACUUCUUAUGUAUAUAAUAUGAUUUUUUUUUUUUUUUUAAGACGCAGUAUUAAUUAUAUCAUCAUGCAAUUCUUGUAAAAGCUCACAGUAUUAUUUUAUCAAAUAAACAAAUAUACUGAAUUCGUUAGUCAUAUAAAAUAACUUGUCAAAAAGAAUAUUACACUACCGAGUUUGAGUUAAAACAUUUUUAAAAAAUAUGAUUUGUAUUUUAUGAAUUUUCAGCAUCAUAUACUAGAUAUUUAAAAAGCCUUAAAAAUAAAAAUCUUUAUCCAAUAAUAGAGAAAAUUUUAAAUAUCAUGCAUGUGGUUUCGCACUUUUUUAUUUUAGUAUCCUAUGGUUUAAAACGUAUCAAUUUAGUAUCCCGUGGUUUCAUUUUUUUCUUUUUUUUUUAUUUUUUCUUCACUAAAUUUUUUUUUUAUUAAAUCAGUGACAAAGUUAAAACUAAAAGGUACUAAAGUGAAUAUAUGAUAAAUCUAGAUGGAAUAUCUGAAAUUUUUUAUAUAUAAUUUAACAAAAUGUUAAAAGAGGAGCGACGAAAAGAAAAAAAAAAACCCACAAAAUACUAAAUUGAUACAUUUAAACCGAAGAACACUAAAGUGAAAAAGUACGAAACCACAGUGAUGGAAUUUGAAGUUUAUCUAAAAAAUUAGGAGAAUUUGAAAAAUUACUCAGCCUUCGUUUGGGAUUACGGAGAGAUUGCAUUACGUGUGAUGAGAAAAUAUUACACCCCAUAUUUCGCGAUGAGUCGGUAGACAAUAUAUUGUCUACAAUUUCACGAGAGAACGCAGAAGCAUAUCAAUCUCAAUACGGAACUAAGCCUAAAUAAGUGUGGAUGGUGGGAAACAAUUUUGUACCAUCUAACUAACCUGGUCUAUAAUAAAUUAACAAACUAAAAAUUAUCAUUCUCGGCCUUCUCGGCAAGAGAGCAAUAAAUUAAUGAAUGAAUUAACUACCCCUCCAUCCCCAACCCAACAACAACCGUACGGAGGUUCUUAGUUUUCCACUCCCGAGGGUCGGAAGCGGCGGUUCCCAGUUGCAGCUCCUGUGCGCGUACCCCCACCAAAUUAAGCUGCGGGGAACACGCGUCGCGCAUCCGCGUUGAGCGCCCCAGAACCCCGCUUGCGUGGGGAUGCGCGCGCGGAGAUGGGGAGGGGGGGGAGAGGAUGGGGCUCAGAGAGAGAGAGAGAGAGAGAGAGAGAGGGGAGGGUCCUCUCCGUCUCGCGCUGUGGUGUGGCCUGUGGGGAUGCGCGUCGCAGUUACCGAGGCGUGGGGAGAGUGUGUAUGUGUUUUUUUUUUUAUUUAAAAAAAUUUCUCUCGUUGGUCGCCUCGAGCCCUGGGGCGGUGGUGGGUGGGGAGGGGGGACCGGGGGCAUCGCGCUGGGCAGAAAGAGCGCCGCUCGUACCUUUUGCUGCGACACUUUUAUCAUAUCAUAUGCAAAAACCUGCAGCGUGUCAUCAUAUUUACGUUUUUGAGACUCGAGAACCUCUCGCCUGCAUGCGGUGUAUAACGCACUCGUGACUAGUAAAAUCAACCGGCUGUUUUUUUUUUUUUUCAUAAAUUAUCUCAUUAAUUUUAUAAUUAUAAUUUUGAUUUUAUUUUCGCUACGCAAGCACCACGUCAGCGCCACGCGAGUAGGAUGGGAGUUGAGUGGUAAGUUAAAAUACGGUAAACCAUUCACCGUGAUUUAAUGGUUCACGCUCAAGUAAUAUAAUAUAUUAGACACUGUAAAUUAUUUACCAUGUCUAGAUAUGUUGAAUGAAUUAUUAUAUUCAACUUAUCCCACACCCUCCACUCCUACCGCAUGGCACUUAUAUGAUACCUGUAUGGCGUGAAUAAAGUAAAAAUUAUAAUUAUAAAAUUAGUGGAACUAUUUGUGAAAAUAUUUUUUUUGAGGUGGCCAAAUACAAAAAAACAACCCAAAAUCAAUGGAUCGAUUCAAAAUUAAGGAAUAAUUGCCUAUAAUAUACCUUUCCAAAUCUUUGAAAAAGAAAUAAUGGACUAUAUAACUUUUAAAAUUUUUAAAAUAUUUGCAGUAUAUUUUUCUAUUAUUUAAAAAAUAUUUCUACUGCUAGUGUCCGUUAAUUCAUCUCGGAUUAAAUCUAAAUUAAAUUUCUAUUAUAGUUAAAAAUAGUAAAAAUACCUAUUUUGCCCCUAAUUAAUGGCAAAUAAAAAAAAAAGCUAGUUAUGGUAAAAAAAAAAAAAUAUUUGAAAAAAGGCAAAAAGCAAAGUAUUUCUUCUUCUCCUAACUUAUGCGCAAAUAAGAAAAAUCGGUGAGGGUAAAAAAAUAUAUUUGAAAGGGUAAAAUACAAAUUUUACAGAAAUAACAACUGUUCUUAAUAGUUUUCUAACAAAAUUUAACUGUAGGAGUAUAUUUGAAAGAACUUGAAACUUUAAAAGAAUAUUUUUAAUAUUAGCCUCCUCCUAAGAAAAAUAAAUACGAAAGCCGAAAACUUGUUAGAAAUAUAUAAGCAAUUGCCGCUAAAAUUAAAAUUUAAUUUUAGAGGCAUGAAUAAUUUACAACACCUACAAUAUCACUUUACCUUAAUAAGUUGUACGGUAAAGAUUUAAAAAUUUUGAACGAAAAUACAGAGAAUGUUCGAAAUAUUAUAAAUCUCGAAACAAACAGCCCUUUCAGUGAAUUACAUUUUUCUAUUUUAUAAUUCUGGUGUAUGAGAUGUGCUUGUACACCCGGUGCACGCGACAAACUGUAUAGGAGAUGGGCGAGCGAUUAAUUCACAUGCAGAUUCAGGGUGGGCAGGAGGCACGCGUUUCACGGCCUCGAUCGCGAGCCAGCUCGGCGCUGCGCUCCGCGUUUUCCACGAUCCGACGCGCGAUAGGCGCGCUUCCCGAGAUAAACAAAACUAUCCCUGAACCAUGCGUAUCCCUACGUCUCGUAGACCGCUCUCACUUUCGCCCUGUUUGGAUAUCGUAAGGUAAUAAUGCAUUUGUAACUUGGUAUGAAAAUUUUCUUUAGACUGAUACUCUCGUUAGAACAGUUGAUCAAUCUGUCUUUUGAGCGUUGGACGAUCCCGAUACAUUUUUCAGACAUAUACGAUAAGGUUGUUACAAAGCAAGCUUUUAUUAAGGAUCGAGUGUUUCUCGCCUAAUGGAUGGAGACGGCGAAAAAUUUGGAGAGGAGUUGGAACAUGGGCUCGGAAUGGCCGUGUGAGACUUAGGGAAUUAAAGGAUUUGCUUGCUUCCUUUCAGACGACAAAUAAAUCUGAUGAAGUUCGGUGGAGAUGAAAUGCAGGAAAUAUAUUUUCUGUUAAAUCGGUUUAUUUGGUGACUCGAAGGGAAGGCAUCCGAGAUACUAGAUUGAUUCACAUUUGGAAACUUAAAAUAUCUAUAAAGUAAAAAUUUUCUUAUGACUAUCGCUUAAGAAGAAAAUCCCCACGGCUGAUAAUUUUCUGAAAACGGGAUGGUUGGGUAAUCCUCUUUGUGUCCUUUGUGGUGAAGUUACGAAGACAAUGGACCACCUCCUUAUAGGAUGUGUGUACACUAGGUUUAUACUUUUUCGAACCUUAGAGGACAGUCAGUGUUUACAGAUAGUGGAAGAUGUACUGACGAUCUAGAGUAAAAUGAUCAUAAAUAUUAGGUCGGGGGAGAUUCUGUAGGAUCUGAUUACCGUAGUAGCGUGCUGGUAGCUAGUCUGGAAGGAAAGAAAUAACGCAAUUUUUAAAAAUCACUUUGCUGAUCCUCUCUUCGUAGUCGGGCGCAUUGAGGAGUUGGUAAGAGAGUGGAGAGACUUUUGUUGAGCUGAUUAACCUGUCGAUUAUUUUUGUUGUUAAUUUUCUUUUUUUCUUUCUUUAAGCUAUAUUUUCCUUCUCGAGAUCGUGUUGUCUUACUAUUUGUAGCCAAAUUCAUUUUUGAAAUGAAUGAAGCAGAUAACGUGCUACCUAUUUCCCAAAAAAAAAAAAAUUCUGUUCAACAAUAAUAGACCAAAAGGACUAAUAAGUUGAAUAGGACUACACUUUUUUUUGUUAAUCAAACGAUGUGCUCGUGCAUCCAAACAGAAGCAUAAUAACAAUCUUUUAAUUCAAUAAAUAUAAUUUACGAUCUAAAUAAUAUAUAUAUAUAUAUAUAUUAUCAAGCACAAUCUGUUAACGUAUUUUAGGUCGCCUGCUAAGAGGUCACUAAUUAUUAAAUUUUAAGUGUGAAUCCACUACGACUGAGUUUUCUUUUCGGUAUAUAAAGUAUCUUGCACCCGGUGUAUGCAGAGAUUUGGGCCAGUAGGUUGGUUCAUUUGGGACCACCCACAGUAACUGGGCCUAAAUGUUUUAGAUCUUCAAAGCUUGNAAAAUUCUUUAUACUAUAUAAAACAAGAUCAAUAUCUUUGAUUUAAAAUUUUAAUGUCAUAUUAUUACAUUUUGUAAGAUUUUUAUUUUCAGCCGUUGAUUUUGAGCCCCUUCGUUCACUAGGCAAAUGAUAUCGUAAAAUCAUAAAAUUUAUUUUCUAUCUACUUCAAAUACUCUAGAUCAAGUUUAAUGGAGCCGAUCGACGAUUCGAAAGUCGCAACAUCGAAAACGAGCUGGAAGCACGGAAGACUCCGUGCUUCCGAUAGCAUAGUAGCCUCACUCUAUAUAUAUAUAUAUAUAUAUUAUCAAGCACAAUCUGUUAACGUAUUUUAGGUCGCCUACUAAGAGGUCACUAAUUAUUAAAUUUUAAGUGUGAAUCCACUACGGCUGAGUUUUCUUUUCGGUAUAUAAAGUAUCUUGCACCCGGUGUAUGCAGAGAUUUGGGCCAGUAGGUUGGUUCAUUUGGGACCACCCACAGUAACUGGGCCUAAAUGUUUUAGAUCUUCAAAGCUUGGACACUGUCAAACACUUUAUCACUAAAAUAUUUUGUUUUCGUUUAAAAUGUAGUAAAAAUUGCACAUAUUUUUCAUAAAGAGCACGAGAGGAGAAUUAGGAAAUUCUUUUUUUUUUUUUAACCUUUUUCGGUUUUGAAGGAAUGAAUUAAGACAUUUUUUUAGGCACGAGUAAUUAUUCGGCUAGGAAGUAGUAACUUUAAUGUUACAGCAAAUGAUUUUUUUAUUUUUUUUUCUCAUUAGAUUACAAUACCUAAUUUUCUUGAUAUUUCAUUAUCUAUAUAUCCUGUAUCACUGGAAAUGUCAAGAGCCUUAACUUAUGCAUACUGUUGAUGCUUUUAAGCUGAUGUAACAGUACUAACAGCAAAUAAUUUCCAUCAGUUACAUGCAUAAAAAGAGUAAAAUUAUCUCAAGAUAUUCUAUUAGUAAGAACCAAACUGUUUGUGCAUUAACUGUGCGUAUAACACCAAUCAAAAAAAAAAAAAGGUUUCAAUUCAAUCUAAAGAAGUUACCAAGAGAGUAGCUCCUCUACACGUACAUAACAAGAGCAGAAAAUAGUUUAAGCAAGAUCAUAUAUAUUUGCUUUACAAGCUGUUGCAACUCCUCUAUAGUAGUUUAAGCCUCAUUUGAAGCAAAAUAACUCCUCGAAAACAUCUCAAUAUGGAGCAAUUAUAACUCGCAUGCUUCAACUCGCAGUACUAGCCCAGUCGAAAUCCGUUUGGUUAGCUAGUUUAACUUGUUUUUUCUUGUUUUUCCUAUAUGUAAUUCUUUUCCGUUUCUUGUAUCAGUUUUAAGGUAUGUAACUCGUUUAGUUCCUCAAACUUACUCCGCAACUCACUAUUAUCAUCAUCAUCAUCAUCCCACCCAGGAAUGUUAGCAGUAGCCUCGUUCACCAUCUUUACCAAUGUUACCUGCAUCAGUGGCAUCAGAUAAAAAGGUUGGUGGUAGGUUCUUCGAACCGAAAAUUCUAAUUUUGAUAUGCAGAAUCGAAAAUAUCUGCGGUUGUUACGUAAACUGCCGAUUGUUUGCCAUAGCGAAGUAGAUCGCAUAUGCUUAAUGUGUAGAGUUGUUCUAAUAAGCAUUUAGUAGUUUAAAUUUUGGAUGCGAACAUACCACACUUUCAGGAACUCCUGGAGGUGGUAAUGAAAGGUUCCUUGGUAGCGGGCCUUUAAGAUACGAUCUUUUGUCGAAGCGCCAUUCCCCGAUUUUUCCAUAAGUUAGCUCACCCUGAUUUUGCUCAAAAUCAAUGUACCAAAUAUAACACAUCAACAAAAGAAUCUCACAGUAAGUUCAUUAGCUUGUGUAGGGUUGCUAAUUGCGAACAUCAAAACAAAAAAUUAACAAAAUUAUAUAUUUGCUGAAGUAAGAAAGUAGAAACCUUCAGUGAAUAGUCACAACCAUAAGUAUAGUGAAUAAUAAAUGUCUCCCCUACUGAUAAGUCCCAAGGAGGCUGCAAUAAUCGACAUAUUCACAGCAAUUAAGCGAUAAAUUAAAUAAAGAUUAGCUUAAACUUACAGUUAAUUAAUACCUGUAUCAUAAAAUCUUUGUAGAGAAUAUGGUGGACACCAUGCAAUGCACUGGCAACAGCGUAGGCAUACCUGCGGUCUUAGCAGAAAUUCAAAGGCACAAAUUUGACAAGGAACUUGUAAGUUUGUAGCUAUGUACAGCUACAGAAAAAAAAGGGGGUAAAAGAACAUAUCGAACUAGCAUAGACCAUCUAGCAGCGUUUCUAGUUUAUUUGAUUUGAUUUGAUUGAUUUCAUGACUCUUCAAAACAGGCGGUAGUUCACGAAUUAGUUCGGUUCGUACGUUUUAACCAAAAAAUAUGAGAAAGAAAAGGCUCUCACAUUUCUAAAACCCAUCCGAAAGCUUUGUCGGUCUUAUUAUCCAUUUUCAUUUCCAGUGACAUGUUCAUCCAAGUAGGAGCAAUCUUCGUCAGCGCGGACUGCAGCAACAAGUUACAGAUAGAAUCGAAAAAAAGACAUUUUUAUAGCAGAUUUUUAUUGUAACCUAACAAGCAAAUCCAGUAAGAACCACCUUUUUGAUUAUUACAGGAGAAUUUCCGAUAGGAUCGAUGUUCGUGACAGGGCCUUUUUCUUCUGGAUAGUACUUCCUUAGUAUCUUUUCUUGUUUCGCCGGUCUUAUGUAGAAGAAUGGAUACGCGACAGGUCGAUCUUCGCGAACCAAGUUCGGCAAAGGCUUCACAAAUAUGUGAUCUGGUUCUGCCAUUAGUAUGUACCUGUAAUUGUUGUCUUGAUCAGGCAGAAAAUCAACUUCAGAAGAGAAAAAAAAACAACUGCAUGAUACCGCGACGUAAAUCAUAAUGCACUCACUCUUCCUGAAUCUCUGCUCUUUCCAGCCAUUGUACAAAGGCCCAUGGUCUAUUAAGGACAACAUAACCCUGAUAUCACAGUUCAUGAGAAAAAUAAAACUUUAAAUUGAUCAAAUGAAAUUAUAAACAAGUGCGAAUGAAAUUCAGCGAAUAAAUUCUUGUUCUUAUCUCUAGAAAACAAGCAUAAGAACAAUUGUCUAUAUAUGAAAAACAUAUUUUCAAAAAGCGUGUUGUUUGAUAUUAGAAAAUAAGAACUUAGCGCGAAAUUUCUUUUUCUAACUUUAUUGCCGGUUUCCAUUUUUUGUUGAAAAAUUAAUAUUCUAUAUAUACAUUACAUACUAAUUAAUAAUAACAAAAAUAAGACAAAAAAAAAAAAAACAAAGACAAAAGGACGGCAAUAACAUUAGACGAGUUACAAUUCUGCAACACGGGGAAAAAAAAAAAAAAAAAAAAUCAAAGAAGGAAAAUAGUGCUCACCCUAUCGGCGCCCGGAGGGAGGGGGUUGACGACGAAGGUGGGGAUCUCCCCCAUGAGAUCGUCGGCCUCGCCGGAGUGCAGCACCCGCGUAAACCCGCCCAUCUCCUCCGCCCCCGCCCCUGCUGCCUUCGCUCGCUUGUACCUGUCAGUGAAAGUUGCAGCUUUCUAACUAACUUAACUAACUUCACAUACUUACCGUCAUCAGUUUUAACGAUUUUAGGACUACGUGUAACGUGUUAGCUAUUUAUUAUUGGUUAAAAUAUAUUCAAUUUUCUCUACCAUAAUAAUAGGUCAAGAGAUUAAUACGUAGGAUUGAGCCUAAUAAAUUAAGAAUACUGCAUUCAUAUAGAUUGAGUCAGGUCGAAAUUCAUGAGCAUUAUAGUUGAAUAGAUGCACGUUUUUUUGAAUUAAUUGAUUAACACUUACGAUCGACACCACUAUGUGGGACUAAUAUGCAUCAUUUUUGAACCAUACCAGUAAUACAUAAUCCGGCACUGCCACCUGCUGUACGGAUCCGCCAUCGCAGUCAUCGCCACGUGGAACGGCCGCUUCCCGGCGGCCGCCGCCAAUUCUCUAUCGCCCGUGAACCAAUUAAUGCGGCCGUCGUCGUCGGCGACGCUGCUCCCUUCCCUCCUCGGCGGCACGAACAACGCCGCGAAGUUGAACGCUGCGAAGAACAAUCCCAGCCCCGCCGCCGCCGCCAGGAACUGAGAUGCUCUCCCGAUCUCCUUUCGUGCGUUCAUAUCUGUUCGACGAAGAUAGUGUGCUAUUUUGUGAGUGUUAUUUUUUAUUUUUUAUUUUUUAUCUGAAUUACAAGUGAAUCCAAUUAAUGAAUGUAUUAAUAAACGUAAAGAUGUUAAUGCAAGCAAAACGUUCCUCAAACUUUUAGAACAUGGAAGCAACGGUUCACUUAAUGAGGUAGAUAUAUAGGAAUGUUUUUUUUUUUUUUUUUUUUGAGAAAUAGGUAACAUGCUAUUCGCUUCGUUUAUUUUAUUUAGAAAUAAACUUAGCUGGAAAUAUGAAAAAUUAGGAUUCGAACUUGGGCCUCGGGUACCAACCAUCAAGUCCUUUGACAUUUACUCUAGGGAUGGCCGGUAGAUAUAAAGAAAUGUUAUAAAUUUAUAAUGUGGGGUAUAUAUUACACCAACUCAAAAAGGGGAUGGAAUAGGAAUUGCACAUGGAAAGUGGAGAGCCGAGUUGGAAUGUGAAGAUUUUGGAAGACAAUAGAAUCUAAAAUUGUUUGAAUAUGAUUUUCGUGCGCUGUGGGAAGUGCUGCUUUCCUAGUGUUCAAACAACAGGAAUGGAAAAAAAAAUAAAAAUAAAAAUAUUUGCAUAUGUAUCCUCACAAAGUAAUAAAAAGGGAAAACUUCAAAUACCUCUAUUGUGGUUUCACUUUUUCUCACUUUAGUACUAUGUAGUUUAAAAUGUAUUUAGUACCCUAUGGUUUUGCACUUUUUCACUUUAGUACCAUAUGGUUUGAAGUGUAUCAAGUUAGUAUCCUGUGGUUUCGCACUUUAUCACUUUAGUACCCUGUGGUUUAAAAACAAUAGAGUACUAACUUGAUACAAAAACAAAACCACAGAGUACUAACUUGAUACACUUUAAACCACAGGGUACUAAAGUGAUAAAGUGAGAAACCACAAGGGUACUAACUUGAUACACUUUAAAUCACAGAGUACUAAAGUGAUAAAGUGAGAAACCACAGGGUACUAACUUGAUACACUUUAAANAAACUUAUGAGUACAAAGGGCUUUAUACUCAUAUGAGUAUAAUAGCCCCAGCCUAUAUUAUAUAUAUAUAUAUAUAUAUAUAGAGAGAGAGAGAGAGAGAGAGAGAGAGAGAGAAAGUAGGGCUACUAUACUCUUAUGAGUAUAGAGUCUUUCGUACUGAUAAGUUAUUUUUGAUGAUGGAGAUUUCAAAUCAAUGAUUCACUCCGUUAAAUAUGAUCUAAAGUAUUUAAAAUUUAUAAAAAAUAAAUUUUUAUAAUUUUAAAGUCCAUCAAGCGGAUAUAUAUGAACGGUAAAAAUUGAACAACGUCCUAAAAAUAGAUGAUCGGAUUCUUCAAUUUAAUAUCGGAAUUAUUGAUUUUUCUUAGAUAAUGAAUAUAAUUUUCUAUCAAAAAUUCAAUAUUUUUUUAUUUUUUUAUACAAUUAAACUAGCAAGUAUUGAAUACCGGCUGUUAAAAAUUGUUAAUUUUGAAAAUUUUUAAUCAUAAGAUAAAUGAUGUCAAAAAAUUAUAAAAUUUAAUUUCUAAAAAUUUUAAAUGUUCUAGAUAAUGCUUAACGGUAUGAAUCUUCGAUUCGGAAACACGCACACACACUCUCUCUCUCUCUCUCUCUCUAUAUAUAUAUAUAUAUAUAAAUGUAUUCCUCUUGUUAGUGGAUUAGUUAAAGGUGACUUUUCUUCUACAAAAUAAUAAUUAUAUUCUUAAAAAAUAAAAAAUUAAAUGCUAAAUGUAUUUAGCAUUACAACAUUUCAAAUGAUGAAAAUUUUAAUUGUUAACUAACAAUAGUCAACUUGGAUAAAUUUGUAUAUUUUGGAUCUUUAAAGGAUAUAUUUGAUAAUCAAACGUUAGCAGAUAUAAAUUGGCAAUUUCAAAACAUUUUAGAAAAAUAUGUACAAAAUAAUCCCAAAAAAGGGUAGCUGGAAAAGAGUGGAUCAGUGCUUUCAUUGUGGUGUUCAACGUAAGUCGUUUAGUUUUAUCGAAAACUUCCAAAACCUUGUUUAGUAUACUUUAAUAUGUGAAAAAACCUUCUUUUUUUUUUUUUUUCCCGUACCGGGGCCUGGCUGCUCCAUUCCUGUAGCUUAGUUCAUCUUUCUAAUAAAUGAAGCGGGUAUCGUACUACCUUUCCCUCAAAAAAAUAUGUGAAAAAAAACCCGACUUUAUUGGUAGGGAACAAUUAACUCUGGUUUGUUUUGGUUUUUUUUUUAAAAUUUAUUUAAGGUAAAAAUCUACCUAGAAAAGAUAAACCAAAGUGCUGCAUCGUAUAAUGAUAACGAUAAAUCAUUAGAUAAUAAAUUACAAAAUUUCACCAUAAAUUAGUUUGUAAAAUAUAACUUCAACAACCUACAAAUAGUAUUUUUUUAUAAAUGAAAUACAGAUGCAAUAAAAUAUUAUUUAUGAGUCAUAAAUAAGAUAGUAAACUGCAUGUAAAUGCAUUACGUGACUUAAAAAUAGUAAACUAUUUUUCCAAACUUUACCUUGGUUUUUAACUCCAGCUGGAUCUUGCUUCCUUCUGAUAACUGGAUUGGCGAAAUUCCGCUCAGAACUUCUUCGCCAGAUACCUUCAGCAAACCGGAAAGGAAAGUAGGAGACCUGCCGAAUGAGAUGAGAUAAGUUCGACCUUUUGCUGAAGAGUUAGGAUGGAAUGGAUAAAUUCAGGUAUGGUUACGUGGGAAGAGAAUUUCUCCAGUUUUGCUUUUCACUCCUCACACUCAUUCUCCCACUUCAUUGAUUUAGUGCCUUUCCCACAAACCGGAAAAAAAAAAAUCCAAGUUUGACUGCGUAAAUUGUCUGGAUAAUCCUCCUACUAUCCCAAUAUUACAACUCGGUCUAUGUACUCUUUCAUGCGAGCGAUUUAUUUUUUUGAGAUAUAGGUAACACGCUACCCGCUUCGUCUAUUUCAUUUAGAAAAUAAACUUAGCUGGAAAUGUGAAUCAACUAGGAUUCGAACUUGGGAUCUCAGGUACCAACCACCAAGCUCUUUACCACUUGCUCUAGGGACGGUCGGUAUGAGCGAUUUAUUAAUUAGUCUCUCGAACAGACUAUGUGUUAACAAACAGAAAAAUACCGACCGUUCCUAGAGCAAGUGGCAAAGAGCUUGGUGGUUGGUACCCGAGAUCUCAAAUUCGAAUCCUAGUUAAUUCACAUUUCUAGUUAAGUUUAUUUUUAAUGAAAUAAACGAAGCGGGUAGCGUGCUACCUAUCUCUCAAAAAAACAAACAGAAAAAUUCAAACACUAUAUAUGCCCUAAUGUUAAUUAAAAUAUAUUCAUUACUUAUUUCUUUUAGAUCGAUCUAUCAGGUAACAUGAUAUUAGAACUAAUUCUAAACCAUUUCAAUUCAAGAGAUCCUAAUUAUCAUUAAUUUCCUUUUUAUAUGUAACGUAUAACGUGAAUAUUAAGUAUAAAAGUUUGAAACAGGUUUGUAGCUAUUAGUGUAAAAAAGUAGUUUUUUUUUUUUUUAAUUUAGAGUUGUAAUCAAUGCACAUAAGUUUCAAAUUUUUAUAUUCUAACUUGAACAUCGACUACUCUAAAACAUAACAUAUUUGAAAAUACUAAUUAAUGUAUGUAAUGUUGGUUUUCCUGUCUUAAAUAUGGUGACAAUGGCCAACUGUGCACUAAAAAAAUUUAAUUAGCACACAAUCACUAGCAAUAUUCUAAUGAGUCUAUAGAAUUAAUCAUCUCUAUUAGAAAUAAAUAAAUUAUUUUCACCAUCGUUUUCAAUGCAUGGCAAAAUAAAACUAAAAAUAGUACAUGAUAAUGGAUUGUGUAGAUCAUCCGAAGAACUAGUUUGAGUAUUGAGUUUUCUCAUUUUCCCAGUGUUGAGAAAAAUUUAUUGUGGAUGGUUAGUUAUAUAUUGUGCAUUAAAAAAGGUUGAUUAGUUGGAAGUAUUGAAUUUUCUUGAGAAAAAUUUAGAAUGAUUUUUUAGGAUUUUUAGUACUCUGAUUUUUCCACUCAUCGAGAUGUACAGAUGAUUCCUUUGAAAGGAUAGUAAAAUAGGGAUUUUUCCACGCAUAAAAUAAAUCUAGAAUCCUUAGAAGUAAGCAUUAAAAUCUAAUUCUAGAAUCGUUAGAAGUAAUUUUACAAUAUCAAAAUCGUUAGUGAUCAGCGACUGAGAUUGAGCCUUCAAUAAUUAAUUUCCUAAUGUCCUCGUAAUCUCAAACAGAAAACCAAAUAGUUCUUGGUAGGUGACAACAUAAUUGAGAUAUUUUAUUGAUUAAAUAUUGAGAAACACUUGAUUCCCACUUGUUCUAACCAAUCUCCAUUUACAGACUAAGUUUGCAUCCUAUAUAUAAUUUCACAAGCAUUUCGUUUCAUCCUAAAGAAUAUAAUGCUUGCUUUUUGUAGAUCUCUCUAACAAAGAUUUCUAAACAUGCAUCUUUCACCACAAACUCUUUGCUAGUUAAGGAUGAACAGCUGCGGCCGAAGGCGAAGUCCGAGAGGUGAGGGACGGCCUCAUCUUCACGAUCUGCUCCUCGUCGACCCCCAUACGCUUCGCAGACACUCCUGCUUCGAAGAAGCGCUUGACGGCGCCCCGCAUGUAGGCGAUGCCUUCGCGGACAUUCAUCUGCUUCGCUAUCCUUUCUUGCAAGCUCGUGAGGAGGUGAUCGCCGUUGAGCACCGACGCGAGCUGCAUGAGCUCCUGCUGGAACUCGCUCAGCUUGGCUUCUUCGUUGGCCUCGCCGUCCCUGAUCUUCACAGGCAUGGGGAGUUCAACUGCAUUAAUUUGACGAUCGAGAAACCAGUUAGAAUUCGUAUCAUCAACAUGAUUGAUUAUAUUGAGUAUUUGAGUAUUGACACAGAAGAGAAACAUGUUGUUCAUGAGUUCAAGUUGUUUCAAGAAACAUGUUGCUAUUAGUGACAUUGACACAAAAAGCUCAUUCUAUAUAUAUUCUGAGAAUUUGUUAGCUAUCUGAUCACCUGGGCAAUCCGUCCUAGGUUCGGUCCGCGUCUGCAAAAUUCCCUCAAACGUUCCAGCCCAUGCAUCUCUCUUCGUCAAGUAAGGCGAUGAGAGAUUGAAAAGAUUCUUUACAGUUGCAGGAAUGGACGAAUGCUCAUACUCCGAGGUUGCGGUCGGAACACCAUUCGGACCGUGAACAACUGCAACCAGUGAAUGGUACACCGUCAACAUUCAUUGCUUUUAAUACGAAAGAAGAAGAAGAAGAAGAAGAAGAAGAGAACACGUCCUCAACUCAUCGAUUCCGACAUUACUCACCGGUUCCCUUCUCAAUCCAGGGUGAAACCAUAAUCGUCGGAACCCUCACUCCCAAUCGAUCGAACGUAAAGAAGAAAGGGUCCGGGCCAACAAUGUCGUCGGGGCUGGGAACGCCCUGGACGGGCGUAGGAACAUGAUCAAAGAACCCGCCGUGCUCGUCGUAAGUAAUAAUCAAGAGAGUCUGGUUCCACUGGGGGCUGGCACGCAGGGUCUCGUAGAUCUCCUUGAUGAACAGCUGGCCUUGGUAGACGUCGUGAGACGGGUGAUCGUCGUUGGCGGGAUGAGCCUUGGAGUCCAAGUAGUGCUGCUCGAUGACGGCGUAGUUGGGGAGAGCGCCUUUGCUCGCAUGUUCCUUGAAUUUUCCGGCGUAGGAGUAGAACUUGGUGAUGUACUUGAGCUUGCGAAGGCUACGGUAGAACAAAACGGCCGGCACGUCUUGGUAGUAUACGCCGAAAGAGAGCCCCGCGUCGUGGAUGUUGUCGAAUAUCGUCCUUUGCGGGUAGCCCUUCGCCAGUAAGCUGCGAGGAAUUCUACACUGUCACACUUGCACCACGUCAUCAAUAACAAGCUAAUCACAUUUCUUAUUUUUAAAUAAAAGUAUAAUAAAAAUAUUUUUUUACAAUCAUGAUGGGACAUAUACCCCUAAAAGGAUACUUUUGAUUGGUUUGUUACACCACGUCACCAAUAUACCAGUUGUAUUCUAGAAUUUUUCGUACGCUGCAGCAUCAUUAUAAUUAUCCUUGUCAUGUCUAUUAUUAGGCGAUCGAAUUUCUACAAUUGCAAGAUCUGUUUUUCUACCGAUGCAUUGUUACAAACAUUGUUAGCAUCACAUACGUAAUGUAAUAAUAACCAAUUAAUUUGCGUAGUAAUGCUUUAUUUUACUACAAGUGAGAAGUACUAAUAGAAAAGGUACUUAUUACUGCAUAAACCAGAGUUCAGUAAACUUAGUGAAUUUGACGAACUCCUCUAUCUACAAUUUUGACCUUUUUUUUUAAUCUUUUUAUACUUUUAUUUUAGUACAACUUUAGUCCAGUUUUAUUAGGUCUCGCACCGAAGAGCUUAAUUCGUGACGCAAAUGGUCAACACUUGGUGGCGCACCGUAGACUAAAUUAAUUGGAUUGUUGCGUUAGUACCCAAUCCUAUUGAAAUUGAAGUCCCCCGCUAUAAUCACGGAUGUCGACAUAACUACUACUUUUUGAUUAUGUUGAUAACAAUUAGGUGCGCUCCAGUGCGUUAGCUCAAUCUUAUAUAACCAUGCACAAAAGGUAAAAAAAAAAUAAAGGAAAAAAAAAAAAAAAGGAAAAGUAGCUUUUUCCGUCCACAAAUUGCGCUUGCAAUAAUUUUGCUUCUUAAAGAGCUUAAUAAUGAUGAUGAUAACGACUCACAUGGGACGCAAUCUCAUGAUAAACAGUAGCUAUCUAUAUUCCUUUCAUCAUCAACAUCGAAGUCACUGCAUAAUUAAAAAUUGGGACCCACUGAGGUUGCCCUCUGAAGAUAACAAAAUAAAAAAUUGAAAGCGCAAUCUCAGACAUUGAUAAUUUGCGCAAUCUCAGACAUUGAUAAUUUUUUCAAUUAGUAGUAUCUACUCAAUUUCUCACACUAUAGAAUUUGAAUUCAAAAAUUACUACUUAGACCGACCGUUUCUAUAUCAAGUGACAAAAAAUUUGAUAGUUGGUGUCCAAGAUCUCAAGUUCGAAUUAUGGUUAAUUCAUAUUUUCAGCUAAAUUUAUUUUUAAAUGAAAUAAACAAAGCGGAUAGCGUACUAUCUCUCUCCAACAAAAAAAAAAAAAAACAACUUAGAAAUUGUACUGUUUUAUGUAAAAAUUUGUAAAUUUGUAUAAUAAUUUGAAUCUUUUGUACUGAUGAUGAUGACUAUAAUUUUAUAUUUAAAAAUAUAAAAAAAAAGUUUAAAUCGAGUUUUUAUCUCAAAUCUCCCCCCACCGACAACAGGCGCGGUGUGUGCGUAUGUCAACAUUUUUAUUUUAUUUCAGUCCUCUCCUUAAUCUAUCUAAACCAUGUACUGACCGGGCCCUACCUCUGUCAAAUGGAGUUGGCCAGCGUGACAUACUUCCGUUCUCACAUAUCGAGAUUCACUCCCACCUCAUCAAUCAUUGCAGAUACAAACAAAUAAUAAUAAAAUGAUUACAGAUGUAAAUUUUAUUUUUUUAUCUUAAAAAAAAUAAAUCAUAUAUUUUUAUUUUUUUUUAAUGUUGAAAAAAAAGAAAUAGCUCAGUUGGAUAGAGCGAGCGGAGUACCUGGCGUCGUUGCUGGUGGCGCCGUGGGAGGUGGCGGAGUGGACGAACAAGCGGUUGGGCUGCGUGGACGAGGGGACGGAGGCGAACCAGCGGUCGAAGACGGCGAACUCCUGGACGAGGGCGGCGUAGACGGGCAGCAGGUCGGGGCGGAAGCCGUUCAUGACGGCGGCGGUCAUGUUCUCCGACAUGGAGCGCGCCUGCUGCACGAACCCGUUCAUCGGGGCCGGCGCCGCCGACGUGUCGUUGGACCCGAACACCUGGUCGCGUAUGGCCUGGAACGAGUGCCCCGGGUCCGGGUCCACGAACUGGGCCCCGUCCGCGAAGUAGACCCGCGCCGCGUCCGGGUCCGACGCCGACACCGGGUUCCACUCCGACCCGUCCACGCCGUUGAUUUCCGGGUUCCGACCCUUCAUCCACCCCAGCAUGUGGUCGAACGACCGGUUCUCCAUCACCACCACCACCACCGUGCUUAUCGGGUCCGCCCCAUUUCCCAAUCCCCCCACGCCCGUUAAUACCUCCACCCAAAACAACAACCAAAGCAGCUUCAUCAUUUAUCAAUGUCUCCUCCUCCUCCUCCUCCAUUUCCCAAUCCCCCCACGCCCGUUAAUACCUCCACCCAAAACAACAACCAAAGCAGCUUCAUCAUUUAUCAAUGUCUCCUCCUCCUCCUCCUCCUCCUCCUCCCUCCUCCUUUGGUGUGUAUGUGUGUGUGUUCAAACUACAAACUAUUCAGACAUAGCUCAACAAUCGUAGCUAUCUGUGGGCGUAAUCACUUGCCAAGCUAUGCAACUNGAGGUUGGAGUGUACCAGAAACCCGAGUAAAGAGGGUUGUGCGCGUGACCGACUCAAACCUCUGUAGCUUUUUAUCGGUGGGUUCUUUUCUUUUGUCUUUGGUGAAUGUAUCUACCUAUCUAUCUAUACAUAUAUAUAUAUAUAUAUAUAUAUAUAUACACACACACACGAAAAGGAGAGGGACAGAGGGAAUAUGUAAUUGUUAUUUUGAUUAUUGUUUAAAGAUUCGCACAAAAAAUGUGCAUGUGCUUUACUUUGCCGUGGGGGUGCUAAUUAAGUGGGAUCACAUAAAAUAUUCUAAUUUUUACAUAAUAUGGAGAGCAUCUUUAUCUAUAAAUUUAAAUUUUUUAUAUUAGCUAAUUUGAACUCUUUAAUAUAGUAUCCGGAAUUGGUUCACAUUUUUUAUAGUUGUGUACUUGUGUGGCCAAUAAUUUUUUAAAUAAUAAAAUGAAUACGGACAAGAUAUUUAUAAAUUCACAUAAAACCAAAUGGGCAAAUUUUAUUACUACUUUAAUACAUUUGAUAGGGGGACAAUCUAAUUAAAAGCACAUCUAAGAGAUUCAUUAGGUUUUCAGAGAUUGGCAAUAAAGAUAAAGAUAAAGAAUAGUAGUAGUAUAAUAGGAUUACGAGUUGCAUGGGUGAAGUUUAUUUUUUGACACGUACCACGUAAAUGAUGAGGAUGUAAGUAGAGCAUUUAAAAUCUCUGGUUGCAACUAACACCUGUGCACGGCCUAGUUAGUUGGUCUUCAAUUUACUGUUGUUUUUACUUUUAUUAAAGUAUUUUUAUACCAUACAAAUAUCUAUUAUGAACCGAAUGGAAUGUCGAUGAACUAUUCUAAAUAAUGGUGAUAAAUUAUAUUUUAAUUUAUUUAUUAUGGUUGGUUAUAGAGUGGUAAAUUAGUGUCAGUAAACUUUUUUUUUUUAUAUUUGUUUUGAUAGAGAUUGGAAAGCCAAUACUGUUAGCUAUUUAUUAUUGGGUUAAAAUAGGUAUAACAUCCUGUCCUGUGACAAUAGACUUAGGAAACUAAUUACUUGAGUUGGAUAAGCCUAAUAAGUUGAGUGGAGAUGCGGUUUACAAGAGAUCUAAUGGCAAGAAGCCUAAUAAUAGACCUAACGUCUAAAUGGGUUGAGUCAGAUCGAAGCCUGCGAGCACUGUGGCUGAGCCUUUAAGUGCGAUAGAUGCGUCCUUCCUAUCAGUAUAUACUUUUGGAAUAGUUAAUUAGUUAGCGCUUACGAUUCACAAAUACGUUUCGUUUUCGUUGGGCUUUGUCGAGUGAGUUGUGUGGGGCACCGUUUGGUGGUGCGUCCACACCACACCAUAGCCAGAUAAGCAAAUGGAACAAAAGUACUUAUGGGGAGGUUCCAAACGGGACUCUUUCGUUCACCACCAGUGUGGCUUCAAAAUUCGUGCCAAUAUGGAUGGAAUAGUUUUAUAUCAAAAGUUUUUUCAUAAAAUUUUUGUUGUAAGAUGCUCUACAUGGGCAUUUCCCUUCCCAGCAAAGCUUAGAGAUCAAGAGGAUGGAUCACUGAACGGUAGUGACAUCGCCGUAGCCUAAAAUUCAGUUCCCACUUCACUAUAGUGAGCUUAAUUUAAAUUUAAUCUAAAGUGUUAUAGAUAGGAUCAACAAAAGCCUACAUAUAAUUUCCAAUGUUAAGCCGUCUUAUUAUUAAUAAAAUAUAUUAUGUUAAAUAAUAUGAAAUAAUUAUUUGUCCCCAAGAACUAAUGCUACCGGUGAUCCAGAAAGCGAUAUUUUAAAUAUUUAUAUUCAACAUAAUAAUAGUAUUAUAUCAAACAGAUUAAUAGUAUGAACGGAAAGUUCGAAUCCUAGUUUUUUUUUUUUGAGAGAUAGGUAGCACGCUACCCGCUUCGUUUAUUUCAUUUAGAAAUAAACUUAGCUAGAAAUGUGAAUCAACUAGGAUUCGAAUUUGGAUCUCGGGUACCAACCACCAAGCCCUUUGUCACUUGCUCUAGGGACGGUCGGUAGUUCGAAUCCUAGUUGAUUCGAAGUUUCCCUAGAACAAGUGACAAAGGGCUUGUGGUUGGUACCUGAGACCCAAGUUCGAAUUCUAGUUGAUUUACAUAUCCAAUUAAGUUUAUUUCUAUAUGAAAUAGACGAAAUGGGUAGCAUGCUACCUAUAUCUCAAAAAACAUAGUAUGAACGGAAAGUAGGAGUUGUGCUAUAAAUAGACGGCAAGGACGAUGCACUGCGUCACAUCAAGUGAUAUAUUUCUGUUAUUGAUAGGCGACGUGAAAGGAAUAAUAAUGUAACAGCCAUGCUUAAAUUGGCGCCGUUGCGUGUCUUCUAACAUCUUCCAUGACAAUGACUCUCAAAAUAUCACAAAUUUUGCUUGAUUCAUGUAUACUUAGGUACUCAGCAAAAAUGACAAACCGAAGAUCAAACCUUAAGCAUUUACAUUCUCACAAAUGAAUCUUUACAAAAGUUGAAAGAAGAAAAAAGAAAUCUGCAAUCAGAACUGCGCAUGAUGCACAAAGUCGGAACACGAAGUGAAUGGAAAUUGAUGACUUGGAUCGAACAUUUACAAUAGCAUGGAUAGAUACAAAUGGUGUCUUGCUAUCGCUCUCGCACUCUUUCUCAUCUUGGGCUGUUCCACGGAGGUGAUGAUUUGUACACAAACCCUUGGGAAGGGACGGCUCCGUGACUUAAAUCGAGACUAUGGAGUUGUUCGAUCAGCUGCGAGCGCCGCUCCUUGAAGAAAUCGAGUCGCGUCGUGAGCUCCACCAGAGUAGAAGAUGCCACUAACGGCUGCCUCGGAUACCCGAUACCCUAUUAAGGAAAAACAAAAGAUAGACUCAUUUUCAUUACUGAAAUAAAAGGUACAUGAUCACAAUUAUGAUAAAUUCGGUUUGCCCACCUCACUAAUUUUAGGGUUAGUAGCAGUGACAUCAGAGAUUGAUUCCACCGAUAUACUCGCCGAUGCCUCCGUCCUUGUUGAUUCACUUGAAUCCAAAGAAUAUUUCCUCGAGAGAUGCUUUGAAGUAGCGUAAGUUGGCAUUUGCUGCUUGGUGCUCUUCCAAUCUAUUCCCGACGACCCCUCCUGUAUGUUAAGAAAAAAAUGGUUUUUGCAUCGGUAAAUCGCUGAGAUAAAGGCUUAUUGUACGCCAUAGAUUUUUCACAAUAAAUUAUUCAUGUAACCAUUUUAAUGUAUACACCACAAAAUUCAUAGUAAAGUGUAUUUCUCCAUUAGUGUAAUAAAACUAUUAAAAAUUUCAGACAGAACUUGAAACAUUGUCCGGUCAGUAUGCAACAGGUUCUAAAUAAUUCAAUUAGCUUAACGUGAUCACUUGGAGCCCAGGGGAUCACAUAAAGUGAAUUGAGUUAAAGAAUGGAGAAGCUACGGAAUGUAUGUAAAGCAGCGAAGAUGAAGUAACUACCAUGCAAAUGUGACUUACUAAGAUGUCAAGUGUACAUUUAAAAGCAAAUGAAAAGUUCAAAAUUGCUAGCUCGCAAGAGAGAAAUAGGGAAAGUACCUCAUUCCUUUGCUUCUUCUCAUGGUUGCAGAAAGCAAGGCUCAUAUCGAAGUCAUGCUGAACAGUCUUCCUGCCACAUUAGAAACCCAAAAUAGUAUAUCAACAAAAUAAUAUCCGUUAAUAAGGGUCACCGCUCACCAAAAUAAUACAAUUUCUUUACAGGAUCAAACAGGCAAUCAAUAGAAGCAGCAUGCAUAAUGAUGAAAAGAACAGUACAAACCUUAGCAUUCAGCUCCAGAAAGUAUUUUAGAUAAAAUUGGAUUUGAGAUAAUCAAAUACAGCAUCUGACCCAGCAAACAGUAUCUUAUUAAUGAAAUGUUAUUUAAGAAUAAUCAUGCAUCACGACUUCCAUCUUUUGCAAGAUUGUGGCAGUUUUGUUUUUAAAUCACUUGAUUGCUCUUCCUUAAGGAUCUAGGAUCAGAGUAGAGUAUUUGGCCUCAUUGAUUGGCACUUGGAUUCUGAUGUCACUUGUGAUAUCAUGGUGGAGCAGAACAAUGAUUGGAGGAGAGAUAAAGAUUGAAUGGAAGAUGUUCUAUCAGUUCAUGCAUGAUUGAAGAAACGUAGCAGAUUCUAUAAGAAGAAAAAAGGUUUCGUGUAAAUCUGAACACAAUACAAUAAAUUAAGUUUCACCAGUCUUACUGUUGUGAGAUUGGAGCUGGAAAAUUUUGAUAGUGACCGCUAGCAUCAACAAAAGAUCCAUAGUGAUGCUGGCGUUGUUGGUUAAGUUGGAGAUGCAGUUCCGCGACCUUCUUUUUCAACCUUGCAACAUCUGCUUCAGCUAGGGCAAUCUCCUCAAGUUCUGCCCGUGUCUUUUAGAUAUAUAAAACAAGAGGUCAUGUAUGAUGUAUCCAUUACACCAGUAAUAGAAUUCAUAGGAGCCACAAGAUACAUACCUUCGAAUCCAUAGCACGUGAGUUUGAAAACUGUUCAGAAGACAUGCUCAGCCCAACCUCUAAUGCAGCUCUAAGAUCCCUCUCAGCUUGCAACUGCUCUUGCAAUCUAGAGACCUACACAAGUAGCCAAUAGAGAGUAUUAGACGUUUUUCCAGAUAGUUCAAUCCCACAAGUGCACGCUACACCUAGUAUCUCAACAUAUUUGGCAUGUGCAAAUAAAAUUAACUUCCUGAACGGAAAAUUAGAACUUCGUUGGCACAGCUGAAGCUUCUAUAACACUAGUGCUGUAUGAAUGGAGCUAUUCAAAGAAGCAUUAAUAUUUUUCCUAUCAAAUUCUCCUUUAUACUUUCUUCUCAUGGCAAGAGCAGAAAUUUCACUUUGGAGCUUUUGCUUUUGAGACCGGUAAGCUCAAUUUAUCUUCCUAUCACAACAAAAGCUCCAAAUAAUUUAUUAGCUAGAAGCUUCAGUUUUCUGGAAAAGAGAAGUGUUCCAGAACCAGGCCAGGCAUUUAAUCUAUUGUGAUUUUCACCCACAUCAUGUACAGUUCAGUCAUCUCAUCAGUUUGGUGAACCAAGAAUAGCCAAAGGCUAAUGUGGAGGGUCACUGGUCACAUAACUAAGAGUGCAAAGCACAGCAUCUCUAAAUAUAACAAUAAAUAUUAAACUUAUCUAGUUAAUGUCUAUGUUACAGAUUAAGAAAGCAUAUGAAGCUAAAAUGCUCAAUAUGCCGAGAUAAAUAAGGACAUGACCAUCAAUGUAUAGCCAGAAAGCUAAUAGCCUAUCAAUGGUGCACAAGUAAGGGGUAAAAGAAAAAUGCAUACAUCUUGUUCUAGAGCUAAACGACGCUCAUGCAAGGCCUGUUUUCUUCUUUCCAAACUAGCUUGGAGAAUAGCAUUCCCUUUGGCCUGAGAAAAGUAAUUUCCAUCUCAUGUUAAAUGUUUCAGUUAUUUUAUCACCUUAAGAAAAGAUAAUCUCGCAAAUAAAAUAUUGUUUUAUACCUCCUUAGCAAUCCUAAUCUGGAGAUCAUUCUUUGUCAUCUCGAGCCUAUGAAUAGCAAGCCUGAAAAAGAAGUACAGUCUGAGAAACGGCAUAAAUUAAACUAUUUCAACAGUAAAUCAUUAAGUUCCAAUGAGUGCUUCACCAUCCCAAGUCGUAAGAAAAUUAAAUCCAUAAUUCAACAGUCCUUUGAAGAAAUUAGGAGGAGAGUAAAUUGUUUUUUUUCCCCCUAGGAAUUAGACUACUCCCUUGUACAAUCAUAAAAUUUGCGCGAGUUAUCAGACUUUAGAGGAAGACAAAGACAGUGAAGAUCAGAAAUCCAUAAGAUUAUCCAACAGGUUGGAUAGAAUUCAAGAUAAUGAUGCAUAUUUCAGGAAAGCACACUAAAUGAAACUCGAAAAGAACUUACUCUUCUUCACCAGAUGAAUCAACUGAUUCCAUUGGCUGGUUCUUUCUGGCCUACAAUAUUUCAAAGCAGAAUCAACACCAGAAAGCUUUAAAUUAAUUCCAAAAUUGAGUAGCAGACGACUAAUAGAGCCCAUAAUCCAGGAUUAAGAAAAAUGUAACAGAAAAUGAGAGAUUUUAUAAAUAAUAUUUCCAAAUAUAAAGAGGUUCAAAGCUCAAACACAGAAACAUGUCCGUCUAAUUCCAAGAGGAACUAAAAAGAAGAAAAAUACAACUAGAUCAAAUAAAAAGUAAACAAAUAAUCAUAAAAGGACAGUUUUAAAUUAGAAUUAAAAAAUUCACAGUUCAAAUUUACAAUGCAAAGUGAUCCUAAAGUACAUGCCGAUUGACUUACAUUGUUUCGUCCCCAGAAGUUGGUUCGCUUCACUUGUUUGUGCAAUCCAUUUUGUUUACUUGGGUGUCUGUCAACAAAUUUCUCCACUUCAUAAGAUGGGAAAGAAGUUCCAGGAUCCAUAUUAGACAGGAUCUCUCCCAUCGACUGCGGAGUCUCACGGAUCGGUAACCGACUAGGUGUGCCUUUUUCAGUCACUGCCAUUUUGAUGUUAGUUGAACCAAGCUCAUCAAAACGAGCUUGUAGAUCUUGACAUAAAUCUGUCUUCGCAGCUGAAUCUUGAUUAUCUCUAGGUGAUUGGGCAUCUGAGCCAUCAUCGGCAAAAGCCUGGUUUUCAAAUUAGAAAGAUAGAAACAGGAUAAAUGAGCAGGCAGUCAGAAGAGACAAGCUUAUAUGAGGCAGAAAAGCAGCAAACAAAACAAUAUUGAAACAUGUUAUUAAAAAACCAGCAAGCUCGAGUUAGAUAUAAACUAAUAUAAGAAAAAAAAAAGGACCAAGUAACUAAGUUAUUCUACAAGGAAUGUGCAAAAACAUAAUAAAGCAGACCAGAAUCACUAAUCGAAGAAUUUUCUAGUGACAUAUACAUAAUCAACAAGUUAAUCGAAAAGUUAGAUGUCACCAGCAAGGGAAAAGAGUUGGUUCUUAGUAGCUUCAGGUAAACAAGCAUAAAAGCGUGCUGUGCACAAAAGCAAUUGGCCCAUAACUUAAUAAUGUCGCCAAAGACAAUAAAAAAUGCAGUAAGAAAGCCAUAUUUCCCUUAAAUGUACUUGUAGAAGCAUCAAUGUGAAAAUCAAACAUCUAGCACAAUUUGAACUGCAAUCAACCUUCAUCUCUAGAGUAAUGGAAGUAGAUACUACAGAAACAAAAUGAAGCAUCAAGAUAACUACAAAGACAUCACAAAGUUGAAAAGCUGUAAACAACAUGAAAAGAAAACCUUAUAGUCAUAGAGAUCACUGCCAUCAUAUCCACUGCUUUCACUUAGUUUUCCACUAAGAACACGUUCAUCAUUCACUUCCAGAUCUACAUUUUCUGCAUCAUGAUAUCCAUUUUCCUUCACAUCUGUAUUUUCAUCAUCUACGGAAUCUUCACUGCCACUCUCUUCAACUUGAGAGUCCGGAGACGUAGAGCCUCUAUGAAGAUUAUCAUCCUGGAAAGGGGAAGAUUUUUUUUUUUAAAAAAAAACAGUGGCAAUAAUAGCACAACUUGAAUAAAAGAUGCAGGAAGACUGUUAAAUAUGGCUUGGACAAUUUCAAAGAAGAACAAAUUAGGAUUCGAAAGAUUAUGUCUACUUUCACUGCAAAUGUAUAGAAAGACUACUAACUAUAUCACAUCAAAGAAAAAAGGGAUUACAACUGUGAGCCUGUAGAAUUAUAAGACAGGUUCUGUUAAAUUAUACAAUAUUUUAAAAAACAGGUUCUAUUCAGGUUCUGUCAACCUAUAUAAGACAGAGAAGCUUCUUGUGAUUUGGUACAAAAAAUUAAAAUCUCAAGCUGUUCAGUCUAAGAUAAGUCAUAUAAUCCAUUUAACCAACCAAAUAUCACUUUUGAGACUAAAAGAUAUCAACAAAUACAAAAAUAAGAUAUAAAAAAUCAACCCUCGAAGUUGGCAAGAAUCUUACGUCGAAUAUAUUCUCAUAUUCCUCCAAGAGGGUCGUGAUAAUUGCUUGCGCAUUAUUAGCAGCAGCUGCUGCAGCAAGAAGCUGAGCAGCAUUAUCACCAUUCAUAUCGAAUUCAUCCUCCAUUUCACAUUCACCAGCCAAAAGCGGCCGCAACAAAAGAGGGGCCAUGCAAGUAGCAACAGCUGACGGACCCAUUCGAUUCUCUGUAGCAUGAGAAGUAAUAAUGUGCAUCAUCUUCAAAACCCUGAGAUUCAAACACACUAAGUGGUUAAGAAAUAAUAUUAAGAUUUUAAAAAACUAAAUUGACCAACCAACCAGAAAAUGUUAAAUAACCAACAGCUAAUUCGAACUUUACUGAAAAUCGUUAGUUACUUCCUUAUAUCACCAGAUUAAAACUACCAUCUGCUUAAAUUAAACAAGCAAACCACGCAAUCUACUGAUAACAGCAUGAUAUUUAAAACUUCCAGUAAGCAAAUUUAACAGGAAUUAAUCGUGGUGGUAAACUUAAUAACAAUCACAGUGAGCUACAUGGAAAUACCACAUCCUUCAACAACUAAAUCCUUGAAAAGAAAAAAUCUUCAAUAUUUGUUCAAUUAGCAUGUCAGAGAACAGAAGCAGCAUCUUAACCAAAGACUUAAAUGCUCAUCGGCAUGGGCCGUAUCUACCGUGCCGUAUCAUGCCAAAAAGAUAUCGGCACAUACAGUCCUCAUGCCGAUGGUACAGCUCAAAACCCUCUAUUCUUCAAAUUAAUAAGUAAUUUUAUCAACAAAGUUCAAAAAAAUUGAUAAAGAUACAAAAUAAAUUGUUAAACUAUUUUGUUGCUAAAGAAUAUAAAUAUUUCAUGCCAUUAUGUGUCGGCACAUAUAUUUUUUGUGACUGGCACACAUCGGCACGCACCGUGCUUGCAAGUUUCCAGCACGACCCCGUGUCACCAAGGAUUUAAGUAUCGUGGCAUGGGAUCGUGCCGGAAACUUGCUGGCACUGUACGGCACGGUGCGUGCUAGGCCGUGCUGAUACGUGCUGUUCACAAAAAAUAUAUGUGUGCUGACAAGUAAUAGCAUGAAAUAUUUAUUUUCUUUAGCAACAAAAUAUGCAAAUUAUUUGUUAUGCAUUUUUAUCAAAUCUUUUGAACUUCAUUGAAAAAAUUACUUACUAAUUUCAAGAAUAGAGGGUUUUAAGUUGUGUCAUCGACACGGAAACAAUAUCGUGCCGAUAUCUUGCUUGCACGAUAUGGCACGGUGGAUACAACCCGUGUCUAUGGGCAUUUUAAUCCUUGCAUGUCAUGGCACUCAAAUCCAUGAUCUUAACACGAUUUCAAUGUAGCAAGUAAUGCACUAUACUAGAAUAACUAAGUUUAGGUCUAGACAGAGGAUGCAUAUGGAUAAGUGGGACUCAUCAUACAGAUGAACUAUCAAAAAUGCCGGCAUAUUGAGAGCAUUGCCACUUUUGUUUUGCACAGAGAAUGUUCAGUAAUCAAUACCAUGAAUAGUUUUAACGGCUUCUAGAUAUACAAGAAUAUAGAUAUAACAUAGAAUUGGAAAUAGUACAACAGAUAUUACUAUAACAGAAAUUUACAGAUAAAUUCUAUCAGAAAGGCAAGGUGGGAGAUAACCUCUGCAACAGCCGUCUAUUUGGUUCUGGAAAUGCCUCUGACAUUGCAGUCCGCAUAGCAUCAAUGCGAGCUUCCUUCUUUUCCAGUUCUUAACAGGAAAUUUUACAGGAAAAUAAGAUAAUUAUAAGGAAAUGAAUCAACAUGUAUCUAAUCAAAAUAUUAUGGUAAAAUAAGCUUCCUUCCGGGCCAAAUUUGGUUGGGAGAUAAAACUGGUUGUGUUUUAUAACAGGCUAAAUCUGGUUGGGACAUAUCGUAAGAUAUAUGACCUUUUGGGUUUAUUAAAGGCUUAAGAUAUAAAGCUUGUAUCAAAGAACAUGAUAGAGAGAGAAAUUCAUAAAAAAGAAGAAACGCAACCAAGAGAACUUAUAUGACCUUUCUGGAAGAGCAGAAGAGAUGUACUUACUAUAAGCUUCCAGUAAUGCAGUACAGCAGGAAGCAGGAACUGGAGAAGAUGGUAGCUCCCGAAGAACAUGCUAGACAAACAAUUUCAUAGGGUCCCAAAAUUUUAAAAAAACUCAACUAAGCUUGAAUGAAAUAAUCAGCAAACUAGGUACUCAUCAAUGCAAGGAGGGGGGGGGGGGGGGGGGGGUGGAACCUUAACACAGUCACCAACAACAUGAGCAUCUUCAUCUGCUGUGAACUCAAUCCUACCUGUUAAUUGAUUUAAAAGAAAGCAUGCCUAUAACCAAAAGGAUCACAUUUGGACAGAUUUCUCAUCCUAUAAACAUACUUUUGAGAGAUCAAAUGAGGUCACAAGCCACUGUUGUCUAUAAACUACAGUCAAAAUAAUGCAGAUAAAAGUAGAGUCCACAGAAUAGAAAGAUUUGAAACCUUGCUCAUACUCUUGCACUCUCCGAUCAACUUCCUCAACAUCAGCUGACUGACGCAAUAUUCCUUCUACCUUUGUUCCUGUAGCAGAAUGUUCACGCAACUAAUAGUUUACUUCCAUAAAUCCACCCAAAAUGGUUCGGCUAAAAAAAUAUUGCUCCAUGCACAUCUUAGGAAUUGAAUAUAUUUAAUGAAAGACAACUAGAAAGCAUAACCACUAAAUUUUUAGCAGGCAGUUCAACAAUAACUGCGAAUGAUACUACGAAAAAGAAAAUUAAAAGCAGCACACGUGAGAAGUAAAUAGUAUAAACAGGUUGUAGCACUUGUUGGCUAUGACUAAUAUGAAAAUUCAGGAGUAUCAGGAUAACAAAAACAUGCUAACUUGGAUUGCUGGGAUUGCAAAGCUGAAGAUUACUAAAUUUUUGCAUGUUUUAUGUGCACUAUAGAAACACCUUAGUCUUUAUGUCAAACUCUUCCAACCAAAGUUGGCGUACAAAGAUAAAAAAACACCUCAUUAGUAUACAGGGAAUCCUAUAGUUUGCAACAACAAUUAAUAUCAGGUAAACUAGUAGGACACCCUAGCCAAAUGAAUCAAGUAAUUAGGCCAUACCAUAUUUCUCCAGGAAACGCAAAGCUUUUUCGAGAAAAGAAGGGCCUCCAUCGAUGUCCUCGAGUGCAAGGAGAAUCGGCCUACCAACAACCAAUGAUUUGAUAGGGCGCUUGCCCCUCCCUAUAUAAGAUAGAGAAUUACCAAACACGAAACUUUUAUGACUCAAAGAUAACAACAGC
rnacentral:lncRNA from 1 species